rnacentral:lncRNA from 1 species
CCGUCGUGGUAGUGCUCAUGGAGGAUGGCCGGCGCGAGAGAGUGUGAGAGACGCCUUGUUGAUGGGGUCAUGUUUGGUGUCUUUCUUCCUUGUUUUGCUUCGUUGAUCGUCCUGCAUCGAGUAGGUGAAGUUGGCCGCGAGUUUCGGCAUAUGAUGAACUUGCUUUGGUGGUGAAAUUGGUCAUGAAAUUCUGUUGAUUUCAUCAAAUUUGGCAUAUGAUGAACUGAUUUGGUGCUGAAAUUGGUCAUGAAACCUUCUUGAUCUCCUUAAUUUUGGCGUACUAGAGUAGCUUGGUGAAACUGGUCAUUAACUUUAUUGAUUUAGUGGUGAAAUUUGUCAUGAACUUUGUUUAUUGUAUCAAGUUUGGCCUGAUGAACUACUUUGAUUGUCUUAAGCCAGUCUCGCCUGUCUAUCUUUUCUCGUCCUUGAUCUGUAUUGCUUUAAGCUUUCUGCAAAAAGCUGUGCAUUCAUGCCAACUCUCUGAAAAUUUGACUGGUCUCCUCGAGUUUGACGUCAUGGAGUUGGUGAACUGGCAGUUACAGGUUGUGCUUAUCCUUGAAUUAUUUGUGCUGAAAUUUUUGCUGGUCUGAUCUCCUCGAAUUUUGUUUGCUUAUCCUUGAGUUUAACUUCGUGUAAAAACCUGCAUCUGUUCCAGUUUGUAGUUGUAGGGUUCUUGCGUGGACUGUCACAAUGGAUAGGCGUUUGUUUCUUUAUGUCCUGCUUCGUUGAUCUUCACAAUGGAUAGGGCUCCCUCCCUGAAUGUUUUGUGUUUAUCCUCUGUGUUAACUUCUUGACAUUAUCAACUAUACUUUGGUGGAGCAGUUGAUCCUGAACUCUGUUGAUUUUCCAAGAAUAAAAAAGUGUGAUGAACUACUUUGCUGGUGAAAAUUCGUCAUUAAACUUUGUUGAAUCGUCAUUGAAUUAGCAAGUACACUACUUUUUUCAUGUGAGGCCAACAGUUGAUUGCACAAAUAACAAAAUGCAAAAAUGUGACUCCACUCAAAUUACGCACAUAAGUUAUGACCGUACUCCUAAUAUUUUAGUUUCAUAGCAACGCACGGGCAUUGUGCCAGUUUGUAUAAUUUCUUUGGGUUAAACUAACACUGGAAAUGACACUAAUCCACCCAGAAGCUUUUUAUUUUGAGCACACCAUCUUCUUUCAGUUUCUGGACCCAAUUCUGAGCUGUACAGCAAGUACCCUGUAUAUGGUUCCAAACUGUUUGAAAAUUGGUACACUUGUACACCUUAGUACGGUAACACCCCUAGACAUCACCCACACACCGACCCUUACCUAGUUUGCUUUGUAGCUGCUGUCAAAGUUUGCUACAGCAAAGUGUUUGGGCUUGCAGAAUGCAAUUCAGUGCACCUGGGGACACAGGGAGACAACUUCUAGCCCAUACUCUGAACACCUCACACACUAGACACGGUGCUAAGCACCAAUAAUGGGCCAGGGCUCUUGGCCGUGGUGAUCACGCCACUGGCAUGCAGAGAGCGUGCUCUGCACACUAGCGUGCAACUAACCCGACGGCUUCAUCGCGUUCCGCGUCCCCGGCUCGCCAUCGCUCACAGGACGCCACGCGCACGCCUCUGCAAACCCCCUCGACGCCCUACGACCAGCCCCGCUAGGCUCGCCGGAAGACGCGGUGCCGCUCACCUAUGACGCGCCGCAGUCGUCGUCUUCCUGCACAGCCCGGACAGCCGCAGCCACGAUCUCGCAAGCACUCACCCGGACCCGCCAAGUCCCCCACUACGGCUUGGCAGAGUCCGGCGUGACCACAACUGAUCCGAGCUUAUCCGCGGUGGUGCCAUGUCUGCAACACCCACACGUCGGGUAUAAAAGACCCCCCGGCUCACACUUCACUCGCACCACCUCCUCCCUUCUCUCACACGUCACACAAGCCAUUGAGCACGCCCAGGAUGGCCUGCCGCCGCAAAAUCAAGCGAAACUCCGCCGCUUGGGCGCCCUCGCCGGCAAGGAUUUUCCUCGACCUCCAACCACACCACCACCACCACUUAGGAUCGCCAUACCUCACUGACGAAAAGCACCAGGAGCUUCCCCAAAUAUGCGACGCUUUGCUAGAGUUCGCCGGAGCCCGAAGACCGUCGCCACCGGAGAGGAAGGAAAUGAUGCUAUCACGACGUCUUCGGAGGAGCUACGAGUACGAGGAGGAUCACCCACUUCGCGUCGUUCCAAUGCACCCACACCCGUGCUCCGUCGUGCCCUCUACGCCGGCGAACGGCCACCGGUGAGCCACUUCUCCAAUGAUCGUGCAAUUUUAAACAAAAACCCGACAGGUGGGGCCCACCUAUCGGCGACUCAUUUCCAUCCCGAAGUGGCAUGUAAGUGGAGGCACAUUUAUGAAAUACGCCUUCAACGUGAACGCCAUGGGGUUUUUUAUUUAAAUCGUUUUUGUUUUAUUUAAAUUGUUUUGUUGACCCAACUUUGACGAAUGAUAACUUUUAAACUAUAGGACCUUUUUUAGUUGAUUAUUUUUGCUAUUUUUAAUGGAACUCUUUUUUUGUUGAUUUAAUUUGGGAUUUAUUUGACCUGUUUGGAAUUUAUGGACACAAUAUUUGACUUUAUGUGUUAUUUACAAAAGCAAUUUUAAAUUAUUUCCAGAAGGAAUUAAUACAUGACGUGAAGACUAGGAGUUCUGUUGCACUUCACUUGAGGAAAGCAAGCUACCACCUCCAUUUGCUUGAUGGCAUUGUAGGCCAUGGGUUAAAAAUUGUAAUUUCUUCAUUUUAUGGUAGUAAUUAAAUUAAGUUUUAGAUUAUUUUUGUGCUAGAAUGUUUGCCAUGCUAGUGUCAUUUGUGUAGAUAGUAGUUGGCCAACAACAUUCACUAGUUUUUAAGUUGAGGUUGAAGCUUAGUUGAUUGAUGAGAACAUGUUAGUUGAGAGUAGUAAUAUGAGUAGAAAUGUUGGAUAAUUCUAGUAGUAGAAGACACCACAUUCUUUUCUUGCUUUCAUGUAGGCAUGAUCAUCUUGGAUGACACAGACUCUAGUUUUAGAAAUGAUCAUAUUUGGGAAAGAUGGUAGAAAUAAAAAGUUAUUAUAAAUUGACUAGAAUGUUUAUUUGUAAUAGAAUUGAAUUCUUAAUUUAACCCUUCAUGGUUGGUCUGUUCGUAGUGCCACGGCAUUGAUCCUUUCGUAGUACAACCACACUUGCCUUAGUGGGAAGGCCCUAGGUCGGUUAUAGUUAUGUCUCUUUUGUGUGUCACCAAAGAGGGAUGGUUGGACGGUUAGUAUCCUCUUGGAUGGGGGAUUGUUGUGUAGUCACGAGAGAUUGGGUUGUGAGAUGUGCACAGAGAAAAUUAUUGAAUCCUGUUGUGGAUUAGUUGUGUCACGGGGUGGGAGGGACCCAGAUUCUCUCACACAUGGCUAGCCUGCUGGAGGUCGGUGAUACGAUAAGAGUGUCAUGUUGUAAGCAGGUUUUGUCAGACUUUUAGUCCAUGGCAUGGGUAAGGUGUACAACCUUUGCAGAGUUUCAAUUCUAUUGGAAUAGUCGAUUCUCUGGUAAUGGGACACAUUCGUAUGAAGUCACACUAUAUGAUCAAGACCAUGACCAAAUUAAACUAAGUAAGUGUUGUAUUCAUGUUUAGUUGGCAGGAUUGGAUAGACUUCAAGGUAGCCUUGAGAGUUGAGACACAUGAUUGGGAAUCAUGCGGAGAGAUAGUCUUUGGAAUGUUAAACUAGAGGUUGGGGCACGCCUCUUUGGCGUACCUGGGCGUACCUGCCUAGCUUGCUUAGUUGUGAACGUGCUUUUGUGGUAUAAAAAAUCACAGACAACGUAUAAUUGGCGAGAAAAUGAUUAACCACAAGAAUUAUACCUUUUGAAUUUCAUCUAACCCUGAUCAGGUGCAUUUAGAUGAUUUGGUUUAUGAGCAAACAAUUAAUCACGAGCAUGGCCAUCUGCAGAAACUUGUUGACUAUAACAUAAGUAUCUUACAAAAAUAUUUCUGAAAAUAAUAGUGUUAAUAUCAAGUGUUACCUAUUGCUAAUUGAUUGAAGUGAAAAUUACAUGAGAAUUUGAUAAGCAAAUGUCACAUUCGGCCACAGGGUACUUCUAAAGAACAUCAAUGGAGAAGUUCUUCGAAAGCGCAGGCGCCUUGAGGUCGAUGGAGAAGUUCUUGCGUGAACAGUCACAUGAGAUAGGCGUUUGUUUGUUUAUGUCCUGCUUCGUUGAUUUUCUCAAGUUUAAUGUGAUGAACUGAUUUGGUGAUUCGUGAUUUUUUUUGUUUGUCCUCACUGUUUACUUCUUGCAAGAACAGUAAUCGCUUCAGUUUGUAGUUGUAGCCUUCUCGUGUGAACAGACAUAUGAGAUGGGCAUUUUCUUGUUUAUGUCAUGCUUUGUGAUUUUAUUUUUUAUUUUAUGCUUUGUGUUUUUUUUUGCGACAAACUGAAGAGAAUUGCAGUAUGCAGGAUGAAAAGGCAACUAGGCAAUGCACACAAAGAAAUUGGGAUUAUUACACUUUUAUUCUGUUAAUGGGUUUUCGGUUUUACCCGAAAAAAGUUUUCGGGGAUGCUUAGUUUUGCCUUUCUUUCAUUAAAUCACUAUGCUUUAGUAGUGUGCCUGGGAUACAUAUUUCCUCUUGAGAUGGCAAGUGGGAUCCACCUAUAAAAGAAAAAAAGGAAAAAAGGAGAAUAAGUUGUCAUUCAGUUUCCACUCAACCCCCUUUCAUCCUCCCGCUCGGCUAGCAUGGUGAGCUCGUUGGCUAUGCCAUGACCCUCCUUUCUCCUCCACCUUGCUCACUCGUCUCGGGAUGUAUGCUCGACCCUGUGGUCCAAACUAGUGUCGAGAGCCGCAUAACCGGGUAAUUCUUCAUCUGGCCCUCAAGGAGGUGAAACGACAAUGCGAAGCAGGCCCCAUAUAGAGUGUGACCCCGUGGUAGCUUGCCCUGGCGAUGAGUCUAUACCUGGAGGAGAGCUCAUGACUCGAGAAUGGAGAGAGGUGUGUUCGGUUGUCUACCUUCGUCGUUGCCACCGCCACGAAGGAAAGACAGAAGAGCCGCACAUUAGAUGGUGGAGGGAGUGGGUCUCCUAGUGGCUCUCUAGCCAAGGCGGUCGCCAAAUAAACAAGUUCCCGAUAUGGACUUCAGUACGACAAUAUCACCUACAUACAAAUAGACAGAUAAAGGGUGAAUUAGAUUCUAGAAGGCAAGCUUCGAGCCUCCAUCCUCUCCUACGAAUCAGGCUAGAAAGAUGGCUUCCAUCCUCAAGAGUUCUCCUACAACAAUAGGUACCAACAAAGCCUGUCGAUGUCCCCUUUAAUUCCAAUCUUUUUAUGGAAGGAAGUGCAGGAAACCUCUCAACAGGUCCCAAACUUGGGAUAGUCGUAUUUUUGGUCCUCGAGUUCUACAAGCAGCAGGACAUAGUCAGAAUGAUUCACGACAAACUCAUCGCUCAUCGGUCCAGGUACAAAAGUUACAACGAUCAGAAGCAUCACGACUUUAACUUUGAACCAGAGGGAUUACCUCCGAGUAACGCCCCUCAACUAAUUGCAACAGUUUCAAGUAAAAGGAAGAUUUACCCCAAGAUUUAUUGGACUCUUCCAAGUUUUAGCAAGGAGGGUAAAUUUAGCAUAUCACCUAGACUUACCAAAAGUCCUAGCAGAAGUCCACUGUGUGUUUCACAUAUCCCAACUCAAAAAAUAUUUGGCAUGCCAGAGAAGCACACUGAAUACAGACAAGUAACCAUCGGUUCAGAUCUCACUUAUGAAGAAAAACCUAUAAAUUUUUGGACAUAGCAAAGUGAAGGACUCGCAAUAAGGUCAACCAAUUUUGAAAGUUCUUUGGGAUCAUCAUAGUGAGGAAGAGGCCACAUGGGAAAGAGAAGUUUCUCUCUGGUAAAACUAUCCUCACAUAUCUCAAAGCAACCUUAAUACAGUGGACAAGGUUCAUCCAAAGGGUGUAGGUUUUUCACAAACCAAAUUUCUCAAACUUGAGCUCCUGGCUUUUUUCUGGAUUUUUCUAGGAUUUAUUUGCUUUGGAUUUCCUUCCCUGAUUUAAUUCAAGAAAAUGGCUACACCAUUUUCAACGAGCCUAAUGAGCAUAUUGACCCUCACAUAAACUAGUCAAAUAUUCUCUUGCCUAUUGACCCUCACAUAAUCUUAUCGCAAUCCCCAUUAUAGUUGAGUAAGUAUUUAUGCUUGAAUUUAAUGAAAACAUCAAUUUAAACCUCUUAGUGAAGGAAACCCAUUAGGCAACUUGUUUUUUCUGAAGAAAAUUAUGGUAGUAUAACAUGAUCAUGUAGUUUCAAAUGUACAAAAAAUAAGAAACACUCAAGUUCAAUAUUUUUCCACGAAAAUAAUUGAACUUCCUGUCCAAAAUCUCCCUUUUAUUUUUAUUUUGUGACUUUUUUAGGAAGCCCCUUGCCAAUGGUUUCACCAAGGGUUCUCUGUUAUUCCCAUACUAAUUUCAAGAGGCGAGGAAAAGAGGCUUUUACAGUCACCUCGAAUUACCUCAACAAUCUUACCUAAAACAUGGUAGUUAUAUGCUUCAUAACCAGUCAAGGCACAAAUGCGAGCAGGGCCUCCUCUCAACAUUCACGAAGGCUAUGAACUCGAACAUAAACAUAAUAUAUUGGAUCGCUUAAAGGAAAUUAAUUAUAAUCAUAAAGAGUUCAUCCAUAUCCUCGAGAACAAGUACAAUAACUCAAACAUAAAAGCAGAAAACCAAGAGGAAAGGGCCAAGUCACAAGAUGACAUCGAGAUGGGGAAGGGUGAAGGCAUGGCGCUGCCGGUGAAUAUAUGGUGAUGAAGGCGACGCCGGUGGAGAUGGCGGUGAUGGAGGCGGUGCGGUGGAGAUGACACCGGCCCGAAGGACGAUGCGUGUGGUGGGAGCCUCCCCUUCUUCUUCUAUGGAGGUGGUCUUGGAGAAGCAUUGGCGUUGUUGUGUUAUGAUCUUGGAUGAAUGAGGGUUUGAUGUCGGCGGCUUGGGUUGAAGGUAUAUAUAUAAGGGGCUUCUUCGGUUCUCCUCCGCAGAUGUGACUUCCUCCUCCUUCAUCCAAGGGCUCUAAGGGAGCCAAAUUCUGUCCCAAAAUGCCCCUUGUUCGACAAGGACCGCGUAGGGAAAGACUAGGACGAAAUUGGAGCAAAAUCAGAAAAGUUAUGGCCGAAAUACGGAGCUGUCGGGGUCGUCUUAUUGUGCGUCGUCGACCACUUUGGACCUUUUGAUAAGAUGGUCGCCAUUUCGUCAUAUGAACUCAUAUUUCAAUGUUCUUGGACUCAUUGGAUUCAUAUGAAUGACACUAAUGCAUCCGCGGUAUUAAAUCUUGAUUUUGAGCACUUUGGAAAAAAAAAUACCAUUUUGACACUUGCAAUAGAAGUCUGGUGUGUGUAAGUCCUCCGUGUUGAUCCCAACCUUGUCCUUUUCAUCGUGUUUGGUUCUUUGUUGCUCCCAAACAUGUGUAGAUGUGACGAAACAAAGGAAACUAAUAUAAACUAAUAAAAACUAGACCUAUACAAUGGUCAAAAUGAAAAGGCUGGACGAAACAAAGGAAACUAAUAGAAAGUAAAUAAAAAUUAGACCUAUGCAAUGCUCAAAAUGAAAAGGCUGGAGACUGGAAGUAACACAUAAUGGACAUGUACUUGGUUCAAUGCGACAUGGUAUAGGGAGAUAAUAUGCAAUAAAUGAGCUCUAAAAUGUGUAAACAAAUAGAGCCAUCAGGUUCUAGAGCCCUCGAUGCUCAUAUGGUCGUAGGGUUGAGCAUACACUUAGAGACGGCCCAGGGCAAGCAGGAGAGGGAAGUGGGCACAUUGUGGAGGCGACGAGCUCAAAGAUGAAAGAUUUUCUCGUACAAAAAAAAGACAUAGACAACAUAAUUUACAAAAUGCGAACAGAAAAAUGCGAUGGUAUCCUAUCAAAAAAUAAUUGCAUGGCAAAAAGGUCAAAGUAAGUCUAAAAAAAGUAAACAAACAAACAAAAAAACAUGGUCCAAAUUGGAGAGAAAAGAAGAACGUCGUGACAAAUUUGAAUAUUAAUUUAAAAAGACAUACAAGGAAUUUGCUAUGCUUUAUUUCCAUUUUCAAAAACACAAAGAAAUCACACACAGAAAGUUGGCAUGAUCCAAAAUAAAUAAUAUUACCAUGCUCUCAAUAAUAAAAUUUCCGUGCUCUUAUGAUAAUAAAAUUGUCAUCCUCUUAGUAAUAAAAUGGCCAUGUGCGAAUGUAGGAAACAAAUUCCAAAAUUGCUGCCAUGAAAAUAGGUAAAAAUUCUCAAAGCUUGCCAUGGUAGCAUUACAAACAAGAUUAAAUUUGCCAUGUUUGGAAGUAAAAAAUGUUAUGAAUUUUUCGUGGGACUAUGCAAAAAAAUUCUAAAAUUUUCCACUUGUACAAAACAAACUGGACAUGUGAAACAUUAUUAAAAAAUGUUUAAAAUUUGGCAUAUGGCAAGUUAAAAAAUUCUAAAUCUGCCUAUCUUUUGUUUGAAAAAUUGCCAUAUACCAAACCAAAAAUGUACAUAUUUUUCCCACCUUGUAAAAGUAAAAGUAAAACAAAAGGAACAUUUGCGAUUUAAUUACAGGUCUCCUAGUUGGAGUCUUUACACACUAGCCAAUCCGGUGGGCUGCUGUGCUUGGUUAGAAUAGCGAUCGUGCAACUUUUAUGUCCUGCUUAUGAGUUUCGAAUCUGAUGUGGCGGGGCUUCUUGUGAUAAGAUCCGUGCAUGUGAUCAGGUGGCAGGGUAGAGCGUUUGAUGAAACUUGCUACAAAUCUGAUGUUCCCCAAUAUUAUUUUCAAAAAAGUGAUGGUAACCUUGGAUUUUGUGGGUUAACUAUACAAAGGUGGAUUGUCUAGUCUUUUUUUUCGAGGGUACGCCAAAGGCGUACCAUAGCUUUAUAGGAGAAAGAAAGUAUGUACAAGAGAGUUACAAGGUAGCUAGUUAGAGAUCACAAGACGAUCCUAACAUAGCCAGACAUCCAGUCCGAAAGUCUAACACUAUUCCUCACUAACUACAUGAUCUCCAAAACCUCCUGUUGCGAUCCAGUUCCUAAGUUCGUCGAAGAUCGCCUUGGCCGUGCCCCACUCGUUUAGGAUGGAAUGACUCCCAAACACUCUACCAUUGCGUUGCUUCCAUAGACUCCAGCAGAUGAGCAUGACAACCGCAUCGAAUCAUUUCCUGGAUCCCUUAGAGAUACGUUUCCUAGUCGCCAACCACCAUGGCACCAAACUAUCCGAAGCGUUAGGGCAAAGCUGCGGAUCCAAGUGCAUCCUGCACAUGCACAUGUACCAAACUUGUCGCGGAAACACGCACUGCAACAAGAUAUGGUCUACUGUGUCUUCCUCUUGGUCGCAUAGAAAGCAUGCGGAAGUUUGGUCUUGCAGACCAUGGCGGACUCUCCUAUCUGCGGUCCACAGACGGUACUGUACAGCAAGCCACAUGAAGAUCUUGCAAGCAAGCGGCGUCCAGCACUUCCAGAUAGCCGAGAAAGAAUGAAAAUGGAUCCCGCCUUCGCAGAGCAUCUUAUAAGCAGAGGACGCGGUGUAUGUCCCAUUGUUGUUCCAGGCCCAAAUUGGCUUAUCUUCAGCCUCCGGAUCAAGUUGUACGUCCAUGAGAAUCUCCCAAAGGGUGAUGAACUGGGUGAGCCCCUCCGUACAAAGUGCUCCAACGAUGUCAUUGGCCCAGUCGUGUGAGUUCAGGGCAUCCACAAGACUUCUCUUGUUGCGCACUUGUGGUCGUACCCAAGUCACCAUGAGGGGAGCAAUGUCGUUUAUGGUGCACCGUUACACCAUCUAUCCUUCCAGAAUAGGAUUUGCGUUCCUCCACCAAUCUGCCAUUUGACCAGGCUCUCGAAUGCAGUAUUCACCUUUUUAUGCAUAACCAAGUUGAGGCCCUGCCAAGGCCUCGUCCUAUCCGUAUGCCUCAACCACUCCCAUCUCAAUCUUAGGGCAAUCCCGUGUUUGUAAAGAUCAAGCACACCCAGUCCACCGAGCUGCUUCGGGCGACAAACCCUUCUCGAGGAAACAACACACUUUCCACGAUGAACCUCCUCGGAGCCAGCCCAAAAAAAUACACGACAACCUUGGUCGACACGCUCCAAAGCCCGUUUGGGGGCCUCCGCAAUCAUCAGAUGGCGAGUAGCACGUGCUCUCAUUACAAUGUUGACAAGGAUGAGACGACCGGGCCUGGUAACUAGGCCUCUUUGCCAGCUGAUACGUCCAUUUUGCAUCAUGCUUUAUAUCAAUAUUUAUUGCAUUAUGGGCUGUUAUUACACUUUAUAUCUCAAUACUUAUGGCUAUUCUCUCUUAUUUUACAAGGUUUACCAUGAAGAGGGGGAAUGCUGGCAGCUGGAAUUCUGGCUGGAAAAGGAGCAAACGCUGGAAACCUAUUCUGCACAACUCCAAAAGUCCUAAAACUCCACGAAACCACUUUUGAAUUUAAUAAGAAUUUAUGAGCGAAAGAAAUAGGCCAGGGGGCCCACACCCUUUCCAGGAGACAGGGGGCGCGCCCCCCCCUGUAGGGCGCGACCUCCUAUCUCUUGGGCCCCCUGGUGGGCCUCCGGCAUCCAUCUUCUGCUAUAUCAUCACUUUUACCCUGGAAAAAAUCAUGGGCAAGCUUACGGGAUGAAACUCCGCCGCCACGAGGCGGAACCUUGGCGGAAUCAAUCUAGGGCUCUGGCGGAGCUAUUCUGCCGGGGACACUUCCCUCCGGGAGGGGGAAAUGAUCAUCAACGUCAUCAACAACGAUCCUCUCAUCUGGAGGGGGUCAAUCUCCAUCAACAUCUUCACUAGCACCAUCUCCUCUCAAAAUCCUAGUUCAUCUCUUGUAUCCAAUCUUGUAUCAAAACCACAAAUUGGUACCUGUGGGUUGCUAGUAGUGUUAAUUACUCCUUGUAGUUGAUGCUAUUUGGUUUACUUGGUGGAAGAUCAUAUGUUCAGAUCCUUUAUGCAUAUUAAUACCCCUCUAAUUAUGAACAUGAAUAUGCUUUGUGAGUAGUUACGUUUGUUCCUGAGGACAUGGGUGAAGUCUUGCUAUUAGUAGUCAUGUGAAUUUGGUAUUCGUUCGAUAUUUUGAUGAGAUGUAUGUUGUCUUUCUUCUAGUGGUGUUAUGUGAACGUCGACUACAUGGAACUUCACCAUUAUUUGGGCCUAGAGGAAGGCAUAGGGAAGUAAUAAGUAAAUGAUGGGUUGCUAGAGUGACAGAAGCUUAAACCCUAGUUUAUGCGUUGCUUCGUUAGGGGUUGAUAUGGACCCAUAUGUUUAAUGUUGUGGUUAGGUUUACCUUAAUACUCAUUUUUGUAGUUGCGGAUGCUUGCAAUAGGGGUUAAUCAUAAGUGGGAUGCUUGUCCAAGUUAGGGUAGUACCCAAGUACCGGUCCACCCACAUAUCAAAUUAUCAAUGUACUGAACGCGAAUCAUAUGAACGUGAUGAAAACUAGCUUGACGAUAAUUCCCAAUGUGUCCUCGGGAGCUCCUUCUUCAUUAUUAGAAUUUGUCCAGGCUUAUCCUUUGCUACAUAAAGGAUUGGGCCACCUUGCUUCACUUUAUUUACUUUAUUUACUUUUUGCUCGUUACUAUUUAUUUUAUCACAAAACUAUCUAUCACCUACUAUUUCAGUGCUUGCAGAGAAAACCUUACUAAAAACAGCUUAUCAUUUCCUUCUGCUCCUCGUUGGGUUCGACACUCUUACUUAUCGAAAGGACUACGAUAGAUCCCCCAUACUUGUGGGUCAUCAAGACUCUUUUCUGGCGCCGUUGCCGGGGAGUGUAGCGCUUUUCGUGAGUGGAACUUGGUAAGGUAACAUUUAUAUAGUGUGCUGAAAUUUUCUGUUACUUGUCACUAUGGAAGGGUAUCUUCACCCCAACCAGAAGAGCAAAGAGGUGAUCCUCAACCUACUGAACUUUAUGAAAAUAUUCACUUUGAGAUUCCUUCGGGUAUGAUAGAAAAACUGCUAGCUAAUCCUUUUGCAGGAGACGGAACAUUGCAUCCCGACUUACACCUUAUCUUUGUGGAUGAAGUUUGUGGAUUAUUUAAGCUUGCAGGUAUUCCCGAUGAUGUUAUUAAAAGGAAGGUGUUCCCUUUAUCUUUGAAGGGAGAUGCAAUGACAUGGUAUAGGCUAUGUGAUGAUACGAGAUUUUGGAAUUAUAAGCGAUUGAAGUUGGAAUUUCACCAGAAGUUCUAUCCUAUGCAUCUUGUUCAUUGUGAUCGUAAUUACAUAUAUAAUUUCUGGCCUCGCGAAGGAUAAAGCAUCGCUCAAGCUUGGGGGAGGCUUAAGUCAAUGUUGUAUUCAUUCCCCAAUCAUGAGCUCCCUCGGGAAAUGAUUAUUCAGAAUUUUUAUGCUCGGCUUUCUCUUGAUAAUCGCAACCUGCUCGAUACUUCCUAUGCUGGUUCCUAUGUGCUGAAUACUAUUGAUUUCAAAUGGGGCUUAUUGGAAAGAAUUAAACGCAACUCUGAAGAUUGGGGUUCCGACAAUGGUAAGGAGUCAGGUAUGACACCUAAGUUCGAUUGUGUUAAAUCUUUUAUGGAUAGCGAUGCUUUCCGUGGAUUUAGCUCUAAGUAUGGACUUGAGUCUGAGAUAGUAGCUACUUUUUGUGAAACUUUUGCUACUCAUGUUGAUCUCCCUAAAGAGAAGUGGUUUAAAUAUAAUCCUCCUAUCGAAGUGAAAGUAGUUGCACCUAUUACAUUCAAAGAAAAGACUAUUACAUAUAGUGACCCUAUUAUUCCUACUGCUUAUGUUGAAAAACCUCCUUUUCCUGUUAGGAUAAAAGAUCAUGCUAAAGCUUCGACUGUUGUUCGUCAGAGUAAUACUAGGACCUAUACACCUCCUGAGCAAAUUAAUGUUGAACCUGGUAUUGCUAUGAUUAAAGAUCUCUUGGAUGAGGACUUAGAUGGGCAUGUUAUCUCUUUCUUGGGUGAAACCGCUAAUAUUGCUAGACCCGAUACUAAAACACGUAGACCUGUUGUAGGCACGCCUAUUAUUUCUGUUAAAAUAGGAGAUCAUUUUUAUCAUGGCUUUUGUGAUAUGGGUGCUAGUGCUAGUGCGAUACCUUAUGAUCUUUAUAAAGAAAUUAUGCACGAUAUUGCACCUAUUGAAUUAGAAGACAUUGAUGUUACUAUUAAGCUUGCUAAUAGGGACACCAUUAAACCUAUUGGGAUUGUUAGAGAUGUUGAAGUCUUGUGUGGGAAGAUUAAAUACCCUGCUGAUUUUCUUGUUCUUGCUUCCCCACAAGAUGAUUUUUGUCCCAUUAUUUUUGGUAGACCCUUCCUGAAUACUGCUAGUGCUAAGAUUAAUUGUGAAAGGAAGGUCAUCACUGUUGGCAUAGAUGGUAUGUCUCAUGAGUUCAAUUUUGCUAAGUUUAGUAGACAACCUCGUGAAAGGGAACCACCGAGUAAGGAUGAAAUUAUUGGUCUUGCUUCCAUUGCUGUUCCUCCAACUGAUCCGUUAGAACAAUAUUUGCUAGACCAUGAAAACGAUAUGUUUAUGAAGGAAAGGGAAGAAAUAGAUGAAGUGUUCCUUAAACAAGAACCUAUGCUGAAACAUAACCUUCCCAUUGAAAUUCUUGGGGAUCCCCCUCCACCCAAGGGUGAUCCCGUGUUUGAACUCAAACCCUUACCUGAUAAUCUUAAGUAUGCUUAUCUUGAUGAAAAAGAAAUAUAUCCUGUUAUUAUUAGUGCUAAACUUUCAGAGAAAGAAGAAGAAAGACUAUUGAAAACUCUGAAGAAGCACAGAGCUGCUAUUGGAUAUGCUCUGGAUGAUCUUAAGGGCAUUAGUCCCACAUUAUGUCAACACAAAAUUUCAGUGGAGAAAGAUGCCAAACUAGUUAGAGAUCCUCAAAGACGAUUAAAUCCCAAGAUGAAGGAAGUGGUAAGAAAGGAUAUAGUAAAACUCCUUGAGGCAGGUAUUAUUUAUCCCGUUGUUGAUAGUGAAUGGGUAAGCCCUGUCCAUUGUGUCCCUAAAAAGGGAGGUAUUACCGUUGUUCCUAAUGAUAAAGAUGAAUUGAUCCCGCAAAGAAUUAUUACAGGUUAUAGGAUGGUAAUUGAUUUCCGUAAGUUAAAUAAAGCUACUAAGAAAGAUCAUUACCCUUUACCUUUUAUUGAUCAAAUGCUAGAAAGGCUAUCCAAACACACACAUUUUUGCUUUCUAGAUGGUUAUUCUGGCUUCUCUCAGAUACCUGUGUCAGCGAAGGAUCAAUCUAAAACUACUUUUACUUGCCCUUUUGGUACUUUUGCUUAUACAGGUAUGCUUUUUGGUUUAUGUAAUGCACCUGCUACCUUUCAAAGAUGCAGGAUGGCUAUAUUUUCUGAUUUUUGUGAAAAGAUAUGUGAGGUAUUCAUGGAUGACUUCUCCGUCGAUGGAUCCUCUUUUGAUGAUUGUUUGAGCAACCUUGAUCAAGUUUUGCAGAGAUGCGAAGACACUAGUCUUGUCCUGAAUUGGGAAAAGUGUCACUUUAUGGUUAAUGAAGGCUUUGUCUUGGGGCACAAGAUCUCGGAGAGAGGUAUUGAAGUUGAUAAAGCCAAAGUUGAUGCUAUUGAAAAGAUGCCAUGUCCCAAGGACAUAAAAGGUAUAAGAAGUUUCCUUGGUCACACCGGUUUUUAUAGGAGGUUCGUUGAUGACUUUUCUAAAAUCUCUAGGCCUCUGACUAAUUUAUUGCAAAAAGAUAUUCCUUUUGUCUUUGAUGAUGAUUGUGUAGAAGCAUUUGAAACACUUAAGAAAGCUUCGAUCACUGCACCUAUUGUUCAGCCACCUGAUUGGAAUUUACCUUUUGAAGUUAUGUGUGAUGCUAGUGAUUAUGCUGUAAGUGCUGUUUUAGGGCAAAGAGUCGAUAAGAAAUAAUGAUAUUCAGUAUGCUUGUAGGACUCUUGAUACUGCGCAGAGAAAUUAUGCUACUACUGAAAAAGAGUUCUUAGCAGUUGUGUUUGCAUGUGAUAAGUUUAGACCUUAUAUUGUUGAUUCCUAAGUUACUAUUCACACUGAUCAUGCUGCUAUUAAAUAUCUUAUGGAAAAGAAAGAUGCUAAGCCUAGACUCAUUACAUGGGUUUUCUCGCUCCAAGAAUUUGAUUUGCAUAUUAUUGAUAGAAAGGGAGCUGAGAACCCCGUUGCAGACAAGUUGUCUAAGUUAGAGAAUGUUCUUGAUGACCCACUGCCUAUUAAUGAUAGCUUUCCUGAUGAACAAUUAGCGGUUGUCAAUGCUUCUCGUACUGCUCCUUGGUAUGCCGAUUAUGCUAAUUACAUUGUUGCUAAAUAUAUACCUCCUAGUUUCACAUACCAGCAAAAGAAAAGGUUCUUUUAUGAUUUAAGACAUUACUUCUGGGAUGUUCCACACCUUUAUAAAGAAGGAGUAGAUGGUAUUAUUAGACGUUGUGUGCCUGAGCAUGAACAGGAACAAAUCCUACGCAAGUGUCACUCUAAAUCCUAUGGAGGACACCACGCUGGAGAUAGAACUGCACACAAGGUACUACAAUCUGGUUUUUAUUGGCCUACUCUCUUCAAAGAUGCUCGUAAGUUUGUCAUAUCUUGUGAUGAAUGUCAAAGAAUAGGUAACAUUAGUAGACGUCAAGAAAUGCCUAUGAAUUAUUCUCUUUUUAUUGAACCGUUUGAUGUUUGGGGCUUUGACUAUAUGGGACCUUUUCCUGCCUCCAAUGGUUAUACACAUAUUUUAGUUGCUGUUGAUUACGUUACUAAGUGGGUAGAAGCUAUUCCAACUAGUAGUGCUGAUCAUAACACUUCUAUUAAAAUGCUUAAAGAAGUUAUUUUUCUGAGGUUUGGAGUCCCUAGAUAUCUUAUGACUGAUGGUGGUUCACAUUUUAUUCAUGGAGCUUUCCGUAAGAUGCUCGCUAAGUAUGAUGUUAAUCAUAGAAUAGCAUCUCCUUAUCAUCCGCAGUCUAGUGGUCAGGUAGAGUUGAGCAAUAGAGAGCUCAAAUUAAUUUUGCAAAAGACUGUGAAUAGAUCUAGAAAGAAUUGGUCCAAAAAACUUGAUGAUGCAUUAUGGGCCUAUAGAACUGCAUACAAAAAUCCUAUGGGUAUGUCUCCUUAUAAGAUGGUUUAUGGAAAGGCAUGUCAUUUACCUCUUGAACUUGAACAUAAGGCAUAUUGGGCUAUUAAAGAGCUCAAUUAUGACUUCAAACUUGCCGGUGAGAUAAGGUUAUUUGAUAUUAGCUCACUUGAUGAAUGGAGAACCCAAGCUUUUCAAAGAAAAAGUCAAACGCUGGCAUGAUAAGAGGAUACAAAAGCAUCAGUUUAACGUAGGAGAUUAUGUGUUAUUAUUCAACUCUCAUUUAAGAUUUUUUGCAGGAAAACUUCUCUCAAAAUGGGAAGGUCCCUACAUUAUUGAGGAGGUCUAUCGUUCUGGUGCUAUAAAAAUCAACAACUUCGAAGGCACAAAUCCGAGGGUGGUAAAUGGUCAAAGAAUUAAACAUUAUAUUUCAGGUAAUCCUAUCAAUGUUGAAACUAAUAUUAUUGAAACCAUAACCCCUAAGGAAUACAUAAGAGACACUUUCCAGAACGUUCCAGACUCCGAAAAGGCAUAGGUACGUGGUACGGUAAGUAAACCGACUCCAAAACAACUCUAAUGGCAAUUUUUAUCAGCUUUGGAUUAUUUAAGAAUUUUAGGAAGAAAGAAGUAGUCCGAAAGGGACACGAGGCUCCCACGAGAGAGGAGGCCGCGCCCCCCUGUAGGGCGCGGCCCCUGUAUCGUGGGCACCUCGUGUGCCUCCCGGACUCCGUUUUCUUGUAUGUUAUGUAUUUUGAUCAGUAAAAAUUCAUUAUAUAUACUCCCGAAGGUUUUUACCAACGUAUCACGCAAAUAUCCUCUGUUUUCAUUUCGAGCUGUUUCUGUUUCAGAUCUAGAGCAUCAUGACGUCUCCAAGCGCUCCCAAGGACAAAUUUUUUGAGAGGGUUAUCAACCCCUAUCUCACGGAGGUGCUGCAUCACCCUCAAACCAUUGAGAUGCGUGAGGGGGUGCUGCACAUCCGCGAUGUGGAGGGACCAAGGCGUACCGGGAGCAUGGAGACAAAGCUCGAAGCCAUGGAGCAAGAAGUUUUCAAGUGUCAAGGGAUGCUGGAGCGUGGACUCAAUGCCAAGCAGAUGAUGAUCACGGAGUUCACCAACAACCACGAGCUGGAUGCCAAAGUCAUUGGGGAGACCAUCUUCAAGCUUCAAGAGAAAAUCGAGCACCUCCAAGCCCAGAUUUAUGACCUGCAAAACCAGAACUGUGAGUAUGAAUAUAGAUUCAAGCGAAUGAGUUUGGCUGCAGAUUUAAGGAUCCUGGAGACUCGAUCAUCCUUUUAUGAUGGAGAGCCUAUGCCUUGGAAGACGGACGACAAGCCUACAUCAUCAACAACUCCUACUUCACCCCCUCCGAAGCAGUAAUCACAUGGGUAUGGGCACUCCCCUUGGCAACUGCCAAGCUUGGGGGAGGUGCCCCGAUAUCGUAUCACCAUCACACUCUUAUUUUUACCGCUUUAUUUAGUUCGAUCCUUUUAGUAGUAUCUUGAUCUAGUAGUUUGAAGUUUUUGAUAUCAAGUAGUUUUGAGUUUUGCUUUGUGACCUCUUUUUGUAAUCGAGUUUGUGUGCUAUCUAUAAUAAAGAUUAGUGUUGAGUCAAGGGAUUUGCUAUGAUUGCUAUGAUCUUGAGAAAGUAGAAAGAACAAAAGAGUUCAUAUUGAUCUUAUGGAUAGUGAUAACUUCACACAUAGAAAGUAUGAGGCAUAAAAAUUGUUGAGAGUUGAUGAACGUAGCCUUGGUCAUCGUUGCAAUUAAUAGGAAGUGAUAAGGAAAGAGGGGUUCACAUAUAAAUAUAUCAUCUUGGACAUCUUUUAUGAUUGUGAAGCACUCAUUAAGUAUGACAUGCUAAAAGAGUUGAUGUUGGACAAGGAAGACAACAUAAUGGUUUAUGUUUUCCGACAUCUCAGUUAAAGUAUAUUGUCAUUGACCUUCCAAACAUGUUGAUCUUGCCUUUCCCCCUCUUGCUAGCCAAAAUUCUUGCACCAAGUAGAGAUACUACUUGUGCUUCCAAAUAUCCUCAAACCCAGUUUUGCCAUGAGAGUCCACCAUACCUACGUAUGGAUUGAGUAAGAUCCUUCAAGUAAGUUGUCAUCGGUGCAAGCAAUAAAAAUUGCUCUCUAAAUAUGUAUGACUUAUUAGUGCAGAGAAAAUAAACUUUGUACGAACUUGUUGUGGAAGUAAUAAAAGCAACGGGCUGCAUAAUAAAGGUCCACAUACAAGGGGCAAUAUAAAGUGACGUUCUUUUGCACUAAGAUUUUAUGGAUCAACCCUAAACGCCCAUGACAACCUCUGCUUCCCUCUGCGAAGGGCCUAUCUUUUACUUUAUGUUUUGCUUUAUGCUUGAGUCAAGGUGAUUGCUCACCUUUCCCUUUUUCAUUUUAUCCUUUGGCAAGCUCUUCGUGUUUGAAAGAUCAUGAUACAUAUAUCCAAUUGGAUAUAAGUUGGCAUAGGCUAUUAUUGUUGACAUCACCUAAAGGUGAAUACGUUGGGAGGCAAUGCAAGAGGCCCCUAUCUUUCUCAGUGUCCGAUUGAAACUCUAUAACCACAAGUAUUGCAUGUGUUAGCAAUUAUAGGAGACUACGAGAUAGUUGAGUAUGUGAGCUUGUUGAAAAACUCUAUUAUUGACUCUUUCUAAUGUUACGAUAAAUUGCAAUUGCUUCAAUGACUGAGACUAUAGUUUGUUAGUUCCCAAUGAAGUUUUUGAACCAUACUUGACAUUGUGAAUUGAUUAUUAUAGGAAAUCAUAUGACAAAAAUCUAUAUAUAUUGCUGUUAUUAGAAUGAUCAUGAUGCCCUCAUGUCCGUAUUUUAUUUUUAUCGACACCUCUAUCUCUAAACAUGUGGACAUAUUUUUGAUUUCGGCUUUCGCCAUGAGGACAAGCGAGGUCUAAGCUUGGGGGAGUUGAUCGUACAUUUUGCAUCAUGCUUUUAUAUCAAUAUUUAUUGCAUUAUGGGCUGUUAUUACACUUUAUAUCUCAAUACUUAUGGCUAUUCUCUCUUAUUUUACAAGGUUUACCAUGAAGAGGGGGAAUGCCGGCAGCUGGAAUUCUGGCUGGAAAAGGAGCAAAUGUUGGAAACCUAUUCUGCACAACUCCAAAAGUCCUGAAACUCCACGAAACCACUUUUUGGAUUUAAUAAGAAUUUAUGAGCGAAAGAAAUAGGCCGAGGGCCCACACCCUAUCCAGGAGACAGGGGGGCGCCCCCCUGUAGCGCGCGGCCUCCUAUCUCCUGGUCCCCGUGGUGGGCCUCCGGCGUCCAUCUUCUGCUAUAUCAUCACUUUUACGCUGGAAAAAAUCGUGGGCAAGCUUACGGGACGAAACUCCGCCGCCACGAGGCGGAACCUUGGCAGAAUCAAUCUAGGGCUCUCACGGAGCUGUUCUGCCGGGGACACUUCCCUCCGGGAGGGGUAAAUCAUCACCAACGUCAUCACCAACGAUCCUCUCAUCGGGAGGGGGUCAAUCUUCAUCAACAUCUUCACCAGCACCAUCUCCUAUCAAAACCCUAGUUCAUCUCUUGUAUCCAAUCUUGUAUCAAAACCACAAAUUGGUACCUGUGAGUUGCUAGUAGUGUUGAUUACUCCUUGUAGUUGAUGCUAUUUGGUUUACUUGGUGGAAGAUCAUAUGUUCAGGUCCUUUAUGCAUAUUAAUACCCCUCUGAUUAUGAACAUGAAUAUGCUUUGUGAGUAGUUACGUUUGUUCCUGAGGACACGGGUGAAGUCUUGCUAUUAGUAGUCAUGUGAAUUUGGUAUUCGUUCGAUAUUUUGAUGAGAUGUAUGUUGUCUUUCCUCUAGUGGUGUUAUGUGAACGUCGACUACAUGACACUUUACCAUUAUUUGGGCCUAGAGGAAGGCAUAGGGAAUUAAUAAGUAGAUGAUGGGUUGCUAGAGUGACAGAAGCUUAAACCCUAGUUUAUGCGUUGCUUCGUUAGGGGUUGAUAUGGACCCAUAUGUUUACUGUUGUGGUUAGGUUUACCUUAAUACUCCUUUUUGUAGUUGCGGAUGCUUUCAAUAGGGGUUAAUCAUAAGUGGGAUGCUUGUCCAAGUUAGGGCAGUACCCAAGUACCGGUCCACCCACAUAUCGAAUUAUCAAAGUACCGACGCGAAUCAUAUGAACAUGAUGAAAACUAGCUUGACGAUAAUUCCCUAUGUGUCCUCGGGAGCUCCUUCUUCAUUAUUAGAAUUUGUCCAGGCUUAUCCUUUGCUACAUAAAGGAUUGGGCCACCUUGAUGCACUUUAUUUACUUUUUGCUCGUUACUAUUUAUUUUAUCACAAAACUAUCUAUCACCUACUAUUUCAGUGCUUGCAGAGAAAACCUUACUAAAACCGCUUAUCAUUUCCUUCUGCUCCUCGUUGGGUUCGACACUCUUACUUAUCGAAUGGACUAUGAUAGAUCCCCUCUACUUAUGGGUCAUCACCAGCCAGGAAGGAUGUGCAACGCCAUAUCGAUAAUUCGCUGCCAUUUGGACCUUCUAAGUUGCUUGAUACUCAGCUGUAAUCCGAGAUACUUGCAGGGGAAUGCUCCAAUCUUCCAAGGAAAAGCACUUUUGACGAGCUCCUCAUCUUCAUCCUCCGAACGGAUCAUGAUGGCAGAAGAUUUGGCAUAGUUCACUUUUAAUCCAGGAGCAGCCCCAAAGAUGUCGAGGGCCUCUUUCACAUAAUGCAGAUCUGCAAGGCCAGGGUUUUAUGAAUAGAACUACAUCAUCCGCAUAUAAGGAUAGCCGCUGCAGCGGAGUGCAACCUCUCAUGUUACUUAGAACUCCAUAGUCAUGUGCUUUGAUGACUAUCUUUGUAAGGACGUCCAUGGCGAUAACAAAGAGUAAGGGGGAGAUCGAGUCCCCUUGUCUUAAACCUAUAGCAUGCAUAAACUUAACACCUAUAGAUCCAUUGACCACCACUCUAGAGCUGGCCGAGGUGAGCAAUGUAGAAAUCCAAGAUAUCCAUCUGUCCGAGAAACCCUUAGCAUGCAGCACCUCAAAAAGAAAGGGCCAAGAUAGGGAGUCAAAAGCUUUGGAUAUGUCUAGCUUGAGGAGCACUCCUUUAGCUUUCCUAUGAUGUAACUUACGCGCCAUCUGCCAGACUAGGAGGAAGUUGUCAUGCAGGUUCCUCACUUGGAUGAAAGCGGACUGAUUGACAUGGACCAAUUCUCCCAUACGUGGCUUGAGCCUAGACGAAAGCAGCUUUGAGGCAAACUUAGGUAUGCUAUGAAUAAGACUGAUCGGUCGGAAGUCAGAGACCGAACGUGCCUCCGAAUAUUUGAGGAUUAGGGUGAUCAUGGCUUGAUUCAGCCGGCCAAAUGUAACGCCUCGGAUUUGAUGCACCAGGUGACUGCCAGUUAUUCGCUGUCAUUGGCAUGCCAUUUGCUUGCGUGUUGCAUUUUUCCAUGUCAUCAUGUGCAUCUCUUUUUGCAUACGUGUUCGUCUCAUGCAUCCGAGCAUUUUCCCCAUUGUCCGUUUUGCAAUCCGGCACUCCUAUGUCAUCCGGCGUCCCCUUCAUGCCACUUUUCGUGUGCGGGUGUUAAACAUUCUCGGAAUGGACAGAGGCUUGCCAAGUGGCCUUGGUACACCAUCGGUAGACCGCCUGUCAAGUUCUGUGCCAUUUGGAGUCCGUUUGUUACUCCAACAGUUAACCGUGUAACCCCGAAAGCCCCUUUUGUCUUGCAGCCCAACACCCCUUCAAAGUGGCCCAAAACCACCCAAACCCCCUCCAUGCUCUCGGUCGUUCGAUCACGAUCGUGUGGGCGUAAACCACUCCUCAUUUUGAGUCUCCUAGCUCCCUCUAUCUAUAUAAACACCUCCCCCUCCGAAAUUCACGGUGCAAACCCUAGCCUCCUCUUCCCCCCGUCGCUGGACAUGUCCAUCCAUGCCGGACAUAUCCAUCCUCCACGUCGCCCGGACCAAUCCCGGGGCGACAGGUCCCCCGCCGCCGCUCCCGGCCAGUGGCAUCGCGCCACGUCGCCCACAACUCCUCCCCACCAGCCUCCUCNNNNNNNNNNNNNNNNNNNNNNNNNNNNNNNNNNNNNNNNNNNNNNNNNNNNNNNNNNNNNNNNNNNNNNNNNNNNNNNNNNNNNNNNNNNNNNNNNNNNNNNNNNNNNNNNNNNNNNNNNNNNNNNNNNNNNNNNNNNNNNNNNNNNNNNNNNNNNNNNNNNNNNNNNNNNNNNNNNNNNNNNNNNNNNNNNNNNNNNNNNNNNNNNNNNNNNNNNNNNNNNNNNNNNNNNNNNNNNNNNNNNNNNNNNNNNNNNNNNNNNNNNNNNNNNNNNNNNNNNNNNNNNNNNNNNNNNNNNNNNNNNNNNNNNNNNNNNNNNNNNNNNNNNNNNNNNNNNNNNNNNNNNNNNNNNNNNNNNNNNNNNNNNNNNNNNNNNNNNNNNNNNNNNNNNNNNNNNNNNNNNNNNNNNNNNNNNNNNNNNNNNNNNNNNNNNNNNNNNNNNNNNNNNNNNNNNNNNNNNNNNNNNNNNNNNNNNNNNNNNNNNNNNNNNNNNNNNNNNNNNNNNNNNNNNNNNNNNNNNNNNNNNNNNNNNNNNNNNNNNNNNNNNNNNNNNNNNNNNNNNNNNCCGCCUGCUCGGCGCCGCCACCUCCCAGUGUCUCCCCGCGCCCCACACGCCGGGACCCGGUCGCAUCCGGUGAGAUCCGCCCCGGAUCCGCCCAUCUCCGCCGUCUACUCCAACUCCGGCGAGUUCUCCAGCCGCCUCGAAGUCUGUGCCCGAUCCAGAUCCGAGGUUGACUUCAUUUUUCUGCCAGUCCCCAUAAUUUUGUAUAUUUUAUGCCCCUGUUCAUCGCAUCAUAACUUGCUGCAUACUGCUCCAUUUCGUGCGUGUAAUAUGUCAAAUUGUUCGUCUCGACGAGAACUUCAUUUCAUUCCAUUGCAUCAUGUUCAUGUGAGUCCAUGUUGAUGCCUGAAUCAUCAUUGCAAGAAUGCUAUGUGAUGUUAACCUGCUGAAACUGUUAUAACUUGGUGUUUUGUCAUUUUUGUUGGAUUUGAUGUGUGCAUCCUAUGAGCUUGAUGUCUACAUGUGUUUUGUGCUACAUCAUGCCAUCUUCAAAGUGGUACAAUCCAUGUAUUUUUGUGAGUCUUGUACUGAGUGCAUCGAGCUUGUUAAGUAGGGUACGUGCUGUUGCUGUUUUGCUAGGCUGAUUCUGUUAUAUUAUAAUGCUAUGUAAACCUGCCGCUACAAGUCAUUCUAUGCAUAAUCUGGAGAUGUUCACUAAGGAUGUUUUGUUAUACAUGUCAUGCUCUAUCCAUUCAUGCCCCUGGUUGCAUUUAUAGCCUGCUGCAACUUGUUUUUAUCUUGCUCCAAACUUGCUAAAUAAUGUUGCUGUCAGCCUGUUAACUUUAAGUUCAGUUUUGCCAUGAGCUUUGCUAGUGAUCCAAGCAUGCUAUGAACUUGCUAUUGCCAUGUUUAGCUUCAUAAACAUGUAUUCUUACUGUUGGUUGUCUUUCCAUGCCAUAUAUUUCCCUGUGGUGAGUGGUACAAGCUCACCAACAUGCCUACUUAUUGUUGUUCCUGCCAUGUUUGAAUCUGUCAUAUUACUUGCUAUGUUUACAUGGGUGCCAUCAUAUUUUCUGUGCCCUUUUGGCUCAUGGUCAGUAAGGAACUUUUGUUCUAUGAAAUUAGUAGAAUCAUGCCAUGCCUUUGUUUGCCAUGACAAGUUCAUGUAACAUGUUGUUUGAUAGCUCUAAACAGUGCAACCUGAUGUUAUUCCUGCUAAGCCUGAAAUUGUUAUUAUUUGCAAUCUUGCCAUGUGUGUUUGAGCAUGUUCUAGUGAUUUCUGGGGAUAUCUCAGUGUUCAUGUUUUGUCAUGCAUUACCUGUACAUCAUGUACAUGCCUCUUGUUUUCAUAUUGUGGUACUGUAGCAUGUUGUUUUGGUGCUUGCAAUAUGCCUAGUUGCUGUUAUGGACAGAUUGUUGUCAUAUCUUCUAUGGUGUGUAUGUGUUGAACCGUUGCUCCGUUUUGAGUGUGCUCUAUAUGAAACUUGCUUAGAUUUGCAUGUAGUUUCAUAUUAUCAUUUGCUCUUCAAGCCUUUCAAAUUGCCUUUUCAGCCUCUAACCUUUUUCACCCUUCCUAGCAAACCGUUGUUUGGCUAUGUUACCGCUUUGCUCAGCCCCUCUUAUAGCGUUGUUAGUUGCAGGUGAAGUUGAAGAUUGCUCCAUGGUGGACAGGAUUAUGUUGGGAUAUCACAAUAUCUUUUAUAUUAUUAAUGCAUCUAUAUAUUUGGUAAAGGGUGGAACGCUCGGCCUUAUGCCUGGUGUUUUGUUCCACUCUUGCCGCCCUAGUUUCCGUCAUACCGGUAUUAUGUUCCCGGAUUUUGCGUUCCUUGCGCGGUUGGGUGAUUUAUGGGACCCCCUUGACAGUUCGCUUUGAUUAAAACUUGUCCAGCAAGGCCCAACCUUGGUUUUACCAUUUGCCUCACCAUCACCUAUACCCUUCUCUUGGGUCGGCCAACCCGAGGGUCAUCUUUAUUUUAGCCCCCCCCCNNNNNNNNNNNNNNNNNNNNNNNNNNNNNNNNNNNNNNNNNNNNNNNNNNNNNNNNNNNNNNNNNNNNNNNNNNNNNNNNNNNNNNNNNNNNNNNNNNNNNNNNNNNNNNNNNNNNNNNNNNNNNNNNNNNNNNNNNNNNNNNNNNNNNNNNNNNNNNNNNNNNNNNNNNNNNNNNNNNNNNNNNNNNNNNNNNNNNNNNNNNNNNNNNNNNNNNNNNNNNNNNNNNNNNNNNNNNNNNCUUGUCUAAGUGCUGGUCCAAACCGAGCCGCCUGCGGGGCCCCCUCGGGGAAACUCGAGGUCUGGUUUUACUCAUAGCCUGUCUCAUCCGGUGUUGCCCUGAGAACGAGAUAUGUGCAGCUCCUAUCGGGAUUGUCGGCGCAUCGGGCGGUCUUGCUGGUCUUGUUUUACCAUUGUCGAAAUGUCUUGUAAACCGGGAUUCCGAGACUGAUCGGGUCUUCCUGGGAGAAGGAGUAUCCUUCGUUGAUCGCGAGAGCUUAUCAUGGGCUAAGUUGGGACACCCCUGCAGGGUAUAAACUUUCGAGAGCCAUGCCCGCGGUUAUGUGGCAGAUGGGAAUUUGUUAAUGUCCGGUUGUAGAUAACUUGACACCAGAUCCGAAUUAAAACGCAUCAACCGCGUGUGUAGCCGUGAUGGUCUCUUUUCGGCGGAGUCCGGGAAGUGAACACGGUUUCUGUGUUAUGUUUGACAUAAGUAGGAGCUCAGGAUCACCUCUUGAUCAUUACUAGUUGACGAUCGUUCCGUUUGCUCUCUCCUCGCUCUGAUUUGUGUAUGUUAGCCACCAUACAUGCUUAUUCGUUGCUGCAACCUCACCACUUUACCCCUUCCUUUCCCAUUAAGCUUUCCUAGUCUUGAUACCCAUGGUAAUGGGAUUGCUGAGUCCUCAUGGCUCACAGAUUACUACACCAACAGUUGCAGGUACAGGUUACGCGAUGAUCAUGACACGAGAGCGAUGUUUGCUUGUUUGGAGUUCUUCUUCUGCUUCUUCUUCGAUCAGGGGAUAGGUUCCAGGUCGGCAGCCUGGGCUAGCAGGGUGGAUGUCGUUUGAGUCUCUGUUUGUGUUUCAUCCGUAGUCGAAUGGUGCUCUUAUGUAAGAUGAUGUUGUAUUCGUGUGGCAUUGUAUGCCUUAUGUAUGUAUCCCUAUCUAUUAUGUAAUGUUGAUGUAAUGAUAUCCACCUUGCAAAAGUGUCUUCAAGAUGCGCUUCGAUCCUUGGUGGGACCUUUGAGUUCCUUUAGGAUAGGGUCGCAUCUUAGGCGUGACAAGUUGGUAUCAGAGCCUCGACCGACCCUAGGAGCCCCCUUGAUUGAUUGUGUAGUUUGGCCGUUGUCGAGUCUAGAAGAAAACUGAUUUUUGAGUCUAGUUAUAUCGGAGAGUAGGAAUUCUUUUUACUCCUCAGUCCCUUCGUCGCUCUGGUAAGGAAUCUUGACGUAGUUGUUUUGAAUUACUCCUCUUCCCAUUCAAAUUUUUCUUUAGGUUCACGUAGUUGGUUUUCCGAUCGUUGGCUCUCAGCUCUUUUCAUCCGGUGCAUUUCUCGUCAAGUUGACUCGAGCCUCUUCAUCGUUGUCAAGUUCAAUCCUCAGUUGUUUUCUUUUCCCACCUGCCCUCCCUUUUUCGUCUCCAAGCCAGAGUCCGUAAUAAAGUAUCCAUCCUACUCGUAUGAAGCCUUUGCUUUCUUUCCUCAAUAAUUUCAACCAGUGUUUUCUCUUCAAGAUAUUCGUCGGAUUCCCCUUCCAAGUUGCCUCUGUUUUACCGCCCUCUCACCCUUUCUCUUCUCGGAGUUUGAGUCUCUCUCGACCAUCAAUUUCAUUCGUACGGAGCCCCUUCAGUCUUCCCUCAAUUAUUUCAACCGGUGAAUUCUCGUCUCGUUCGUCAUUCUUCGUCCCUUUCUUUUCCGGUGGACUCAAUUCAAGUUUUUUUCGGGUUGAUCACAUUCUUUCCCUCGGCUCAAGUGUUUUUCCUGCUCGUUUGCCUCUUGUCAUUUAAUCCUUCUGGAGUGCUCAUGACAUCUCAGGAGAUUCGUCUGUGUUCCAAUUAAUUCGAGGUUGUCACCUCAUUCAAAUAUUUCAAUUGUUCCGGUGCAUCAUCUACGUGUUCAACAAUCUUUUCCAACGGUGUUUUCUUUUAGUGGGCCCUAACCCACAGGUCUUUUCCCAGGAUCUUACCUGACUCUUCUAAUUUCCCAGAGUUAUUCUCAAAUUCUUUUCAAGUGUGACGUAAGAAUGGAUUCCAUCAGUCACAUGCUUUCUCCAAGAUUGUUUUCAAAUUAUUUUCAUUGUUGGCUCAACCUCUUCGUUUUUCAUUCUCCCGGAGUAUCCCAGUAACUUCGGUGGUGUUUCCCGUCGUCAUCUGAAGAUCGAAGAAGAGUUCCUUCUAAAUCUUGCCCGUUCUCUCAAAGACUCGCAGUUCUAGUUUCAUGCUACCGUCUCGUAUUAUUCCAUUUGUUAGAUAUUCUUUUCAUCCAUCCAGAGUAUUUCAAGAGUUGUUUUUUUUCUUUUCUCUGUCUCGAUCAUCCGGAGGUCAUCUUUUUUGGAAUAUUUCUUCGCUCCUAGUUUUCAGAUUCAUUCUCCAAUUAUUCUAUAUCCGUGCCCUUUCGUUCGUCUCAAUAUUCUCCCGGUGCUUCGUUCAAGUAUUCUUCAAUAAGUUCGUAGUCUCUUCAUUCUCUUGUCUCUUAAUUCCCUUAAGUAUCUUUUUGUUUUUCUAAUUUUUCCCGGUGAUUCUUUCUCUUUCAUCAGUCAUUUUCGAAUCCUACCAGUGGUUCAUGAAGACUUUCUCAAGUUUUGCGCCAUAUAACCCCCCUUAAUCCUUUUCAAGAAGAAUAAGUAAUAUACAAAAUCCAUCGCUUGUCAUCAAUUUAAUUUGAUGAAGGAUAAGCAUACAAUAAAUCUUAUUCUUAUUUCAUCCAAGUGAGCAAUCCCUUCCUUCGGAGUUUGUUCAUGAUGAAGUAAUUCUAGUUCCAAGUCUUUUCAUCUUUUCUUUUCCGGAGUACAAAUUUCCUCGGCCAUUUCGUUGAAAACUCCAUCUUAAUCAUCGCAAGGCUCAUCUUAUUCUUUCAUCCUUCAAUUCUAUCUGAUUGGCCUUUUGUUUACUGGAGUUCUUCACGGUGGUUCAUCAUGAUUUAAUUCAUUCUUCAAGAUUUUGUUGGUGGAGUUCAAAUAUCUUUUUUCUCACGUCUCGAAGUGCAAUUAAUUCUCCGUUUUCUUUUGAAGUGGAGUUUUGCAUUUCUUCAUUCUUCUCAGCUAUCCAAUCAUUUCCGGUUGUGGCCGUUAUCACCUUAGGAUCUUGAGAUGUUACCUGUAAGACCACAACAAGCUAUUUCUUUUCAUUGUUGAAUUUCUCAACAACUCUGUUUAAACCUUCCUUCUAAAGAUGCUUUCAAUUUCAUUCGUGGCACAAGUUGUCAUUUUCUUGUAUGUUCUUUUCAUUCAACUCUUUCAAUUCCUUCCGGAGGUUUUGUGUCAUGUCUUCAUCAAGUAUCAUUCCAUCCUCUCAAGCUCGUGUUCUAAUCCUUCCAUUUUCAGCCAGAGUGCUGCCUAAAUCCUUUCAGUCUUAUUCGUUUCUUAUCUCGUUCUAACCGGAAAGGUUUCAGAGUCUAUUUGAUUCCAUGAGCUUUCGAUUCUCGUCAUUCUCGUCGUUCCUCUCUUCUUCUCGAGUGCUCUCGAUUCUUUGCUGCUUCUCUUGAGUUCUUGUUUCACCUCAUCCCUUUUCCCUUCCGUCUCGGUCCUAAGAUCUCGGGACGAGAUCUCUUGUUAGUGGAGGAGAGUUGUAACGCCCCGGAUUCGAUGCGCCAGGUGUCUGCCAGUUAUUCGCCGUCAUUGGCAUGCCAUUUGCUUGCGUGUUAAAUUUUGCCAUGUCAUCAUGUGCAUCUCUUUUUGCAUAUGUGUUCGUCUCAUGAAUCCGAGCAUUUUCCCCGUUGUCCGUUUUGCAAUCCGGCACUCCUAUGUCAUCCGGCGUCCCCUUCUUGUCUCUUUUCGUGUGCGGGUGUUAAGCAUUCUCGGAAUGGACCGAGGCUUGCCAAGUGGCCUUGGUACACCACCGGUAGACCGCCUGUCAAGUUUCGUGCCAUUUGGAGUCCGUUUGUUACUCCAACAGUUAACCGUGUAACCCCGAAAGCCCCUUUUGUCUUGCAGCCCAACACCCCUCCAAAGUGGCCCAAAACCCAUCCAAACCCCCUCCAUGCUCUCGCUCGUUCGAUCACGAUCGUGUGGGCGAAAACCACUCCUCAUUUGGAGUCUCCUAGCUCCCUCUAUCUAUAUAAACACCUCCCCCUCUGAAAUUCGCGGGGCAAACCCUAGCCUCCUCUUGCCCGCGCCGCCGGACAUGUCCAUCCGUGCCGGACAUGUCCAACCUCCACGUCGCCCGGACCAAUCCCGGGGCGACACGUCCCCCGCCGCCGCUCCCGGCCAGUGGCAUCGCGCCACAUCGCCCNNNNNNNNNNNNNNNNNNNNNNNNNNNNNNNNNNNNNNNNNNNNNNNNNNNNNNNNNNNNNNNNNNNNNNNNNNNNNNNNNNNNNNNNNNNNNNNNNNNNNNNNNNNNNNNNNNNNNNNNNNNNNNNNNNNNNNNNNNNNNNNNNNNNNNNNNNNNNNNNNNNNNNNNNNNNNNNNNNNNNNNNNNNNNNNNNNNNNNNNNNNNNNNNNNNNNNNNNNNNNNNNNNNNNNNNNNNNNNNNNNNNNNNNNNNNNNNNNNNNNNNNNNNNNNNNNNNNNNNNNNNNNNNNNNNNNNNNNNNNNNNNNNNNNNNNNNNNNNNNNNNNNNNNNNNNNNNNNNNNNNNNNNNNNNNNNNNNNNNNNNNNNNNNNNNNNNNNNNNNNNNNNNNNNNNNNNNNNNNNNNNNNNNNNNNNNNNNNNNNNNNNNNNNNNNNNNNNNNNNNNNNNNNNNNNNNNNNNNNNNNNNNNNNNNNNNNNNNNNNNNNNNNNNNNCCGCCCAGGGCGCCGCCGCCCGCGCCCCCGGCAGACGCCGGCCGCCUGCUUGGCGCCGCCGCCUCCCCGUGUCUCCCCGCGCCCCACACGUCGGGACCCGGCCGGAUCCGGUGAGAUCCGGCCCGGAUCCGCCCAUCUCCGCCGUCUCCUCCAACUCCGGUGAGUUCUCCGACCGCCUCGAAGUCCGUGCCCGAUCCAGAUCCGAGGUUGACUUCGUUUUUCAGCCAGUCCCUGUAAUUUUGUAUAUUUUAUGCCCCUGUUCGUUGCAUCAUAACUUGCUGCAUACUGCCCCGUUUCGUGCGUGUAAUAUGUCAAAUUUUUUGCCUCGAUGAGUACUUCAUUUCAUUCCAUUGCAUCAUGUUCAUUUGAGUCCAUCUUGAUGCUUGAAUCAUCGUUGCAAGAGUGCUAUGUGAUGUUAACCUGCUGAAACUGUUAUAACUUGGUGUUUUGUCAUUUUUGUUGCAUUUGAUGUGUGCAUCCUAUGAGCUUGAUGUCUACAUGUGUUUUGUGCUACAUCAUGCCAUCUUUACAGUGGUGCAAUCCAUGUAUUUUUGUGAGUCUUGUACUGAGUGCAUCGAGCUUUUUAAGUAGGGUACGUGCUGUUGCUGUUUUGCUAGGCUGAUUCUGUUAUAUUAUGAUGCUAUGUAAACCUACUGCUACAAGUCAUUCUAUGCAUAAUCUGGAGAUGUUAACUAAGGAUGUUUUGUUAUACAUGUCAUGCUCUAUCCAUUAAUGCCCCUGGUUGCAUUUAUAGCCUUCCGUAACUUGUUGUUAUCUUGCUCCAAACUUGCUAAAUAAUGUUGCUGUCAGCCUGUUAACUUUAAGUUCAGUUUUGCCAUGAGCUUUUCUAGUGAUCCAAGCAUGCUAUGAACUUGCUAUUGCCAUGUUUAGCUUCAUAAACAUGUAUUCUUACUGUUCGUUGCCUUGCCAUGCCAUGUAUUUCUUUGUGGUGAGUGGUACAAGCUCACCAACAUGCCUACUUAUUGUUGUUCCUGCCAUGUUUGAAUCUGUCAUAUUACUUGCUAUAUUUACAUGGGUGCCAUCAUAUUUUCUGUGCCCUUUUGGCUCAUGGUCAGUAAGGGACUUUUGUUCUAUGAAAUUAGUAGAAUCAUGACAUGCCUUUGUUUGCUAUGAUAAGUUCCUGUAACAUGUUGUUUGAUAGCUCUAAACAGUGCAACCUGAUGUUAUUCCUGCUAAGCCUGAAAUUGUUAUUAUUUGCAAUCUUGCCAUGUGUGUUUGAGCAUGUUCUAGUGAUUUCUGGGGAUAUCUCAGUGUUCAUGUUUUGUCAUGCAUUACCUGUACAUCAUGUACAUGCCUCUUGUUUUCAUAUUGUGGUACUGUAGCAUGUUGUUUUGGUGCUUGCAAUAUGUCUAGUUGCUGUUAUGGACAGAUUGUUGUCAUAUCUUCUAUGGUGUGUAUGUGUUGAACCGUUGCUCCGUUUUGAGUGUGCUCUAUAUGAAACUUGCUUAGAUUUGCAUGUAGUUUCAUAUUAUCAUGUUGCAUCCUUGUUUUGAGGUGUUUGCUUGAUGUUUGUAUGCAUUUUGCAUCAAUGCCAUGUUUUACUUGUUUUGCUCAUAUCUUCUAGGCCGUAGCUCCGAACUAAAUGAACUUCAUAUGUAACUUGACUAGAAUCUCGUGUAGAUCAUCUUGGUGCUCUUUAACUUGCUGUUUAACAACUCCAACUUAAUGUUUGUUCAGAUUUGGACCAACUUUGAAACUUGCAUAUGAGGACCUACCGGAUUUGUUGUAUGUUGUUCCCGGCCUUAUUUAAACUUAUUUUGAUGUGUUGCUCUUGUAUGCAUCAUCUCUUGCCAUGAGUAGCCUCAUCUAGCUUUGUCAUGCAGCAUGCUUGGUUGUGCAUCAUGACUUGUCUAUGUGUGGUGUGUUUACUAUGUCGUGUGCUUCUUUUCGAUAGUUCCCGUUUCGUUACGAUCGUGAGGAUUCGUUCGUCUACGCUUGGUUCGUCUUCGUGGCUUCAUCUUCUUCAUGAACUCGUUCUUCGUCCUAGCGGGAUUUCAGGAAAGAUGAUCGUCACCUUGGAUCUCACUACUAUCAUUGCUAUGCUAGUUUCUUCGUUCUAUCGCUAUGCUGCGCUACCUAUCAUUUGCUCUUCAAGCCUUCCAAAUUGCCAUGUCAGCCUCUAACCUUUUUCACCCUUCCUAGCAAACCGUUGUUUGGCUAUGUUACCGCUUUGCUCAGCCCCUCUUAUAGCGUUGUUAGUUGUAGGUGAAGUUGAAGAUUGCUCCAUGGUGGACAGGAUUAUGUUGGGAUAUCACAAUAUCUUUUAUAUUAUUAAUGCAUCUAUAUAUUUGGUAAAGGGUGGAAGGCUCGGCCUUAUGCCUGGUGUUUUGUUCCACUCUUGCCGCCCUAGUUUCUGUCAUACCAGUAUUAUGUUCCCGGAUUUUGCGUUCCUUACGCGGUUGGGUGAUUUAUGGGACCCCCUUGACAGUUUGCUUUGAAUAAAACUUGUCCAGCAAGGCCCAACCUUGGUUUUACCAUUUGCCUCACCAUCACCUAUACCCUUCCCUUGGGUCGGCCAACCCGAGGGUCAUCUUUAUUUUAGCCCCCCCGGGCUAGUGAUUAUCUAAGUGCUGGUCCGAACCGAGCCGCCUGCGGGGCCCCCUCGGGGAAACUCGAGGUCUGGUUUUACUCGUAGCCUGUCUCAUCCGGUGUUGCCCUGAGAACGAGAUAUGUGCAGCUCCUAUCGGGAUUGUCGGCGCAUCGGGCGGUCUUGCUGGUCUUGUUUUACCAUUGUCGAAAUGUCUUGUAAACCGGGAUUCCGAGACUGAUCGGGUCUUCCUGGGAGAAGGAGUAUCCUUCGUUGAUUGCGAGAGCUUAUCAUGGGCUAAGUUGGGACACCCCUGCAGGGUAUAAACUUUCGAGAGCCGUGCCCGCGGUUAUGUGGCAGAUGGAAAUUUGUUAAUGUCCGGUUGUAGAUAACUUGACACCAGAUCCGAAUUAAAACGCAUCAACCGCGUGUGUAGCCGUGAUGGUCUCUUUUCGGCGGAGUCUGGGAAGUGAACACGGUUUCUGUGUUAUGUUUGACGUAAGUAGGAGCUCAGGAUCACCUCUUGAUCGUUACUAGUUGACGAUCGUUCCGUUUGCUCUCUUCCCGCUCUGAUUUGCGUAUGUUAGCCACCAUAGAUGCUUAGUCGCUGCUGCAACCUCACCACUUUACCCUUUCCUUUACCAUUAAGCUUUGCUAGUCUUGAUACCCAUGGUAAUGGGAUUGCUGAGUCCUCGUGGCUCACAGAUUACUACAACAAUAGUUGCAGGUACAGGUUACGCGAUGAUCAUGACGCGAGAGCGAUGUUUGCUUGUUUGGAGUUCUUCUUCUGCUUCUUCUUCGAUCAGGGGAUAGGUUCCAGGUCGGCAGCCUGGGCUAGCAGGGUGGAUGUCGUUUGAGUCUCUGUUUGUGUUUCAUCCGUAGUCGGAUGGUGCUCUUAUGUAAGAUGAUGUUGUAUUCGUGUGGCAUUGUAUGCCUUAUGUAUGUAUCCCUAUCUAUUAUGUAAUGUUGAUGUAAUGAUAUCCACCUUGCAAAAGCGUCUUCAAGAUGCGCUUCUAUCCUUGGUGGGACCUUCGAGUUCCUUUAUGAUAGGGUCGCAUCUUGGGCGUGACACCGAAGCCCCGACCAUUCCCAAUGAAUAGCUUGUGAAUUGUCGCAAUAAGGUCCACCUUCACUAUCUCCCAAGCACUUUGAAAGAACAGGCCGAUGAAGCCAUCCGGAACCGGAGCACGGUCAGACGGCGAGUCCUUGAUGACCGCCCAAAUUUCCUCCUCCUGGAAGACACAGUCUUGCUCCGAGAAAUCGACAGGUUCAAUCCCUAGAGCUUACAUGUCCAGUGUAAAGUCACGGGCAGUAGCCUUACCCAACACCUCUUUGUAGGCCUCAUGGAAAGCAUCCACUUUUCCUUUCUGAUCGGUGUCCUAUCAUCCACUUGAUAGAAGAGAUAUAAUUCAUCGUACGUCUCCCGUUUGCCACUAGAUGAAAGAGUUGUGUGUUUGCAUCCCCUUCCCGAAACCACGAGAUCCUAGAUCUCUGUCUUGCGAUCGUCCUUUCGAGGGAAGCUAGGGCCAACACAAGGUGUUUGAGAGUUUUCCUGAGCCAGUGCUCCUCGGACGAUAAAAUUCGCAUCUCCUAGGCACAGUCGAACCUCAAGAUCACUGGGUUUGCAAUAGCAAUUUGCAAUUUAAUGUUGCCCACUUUCUUCUGUCCCCAAGUUGCAAGCGCGCACGCUGUGUUUCUGAGAAGGGUAUCAAGUCUCAAAAAGGGGUCUGUGAUAGUAGCCUCACACACCCAUGCCUCCUUCACAACGUCCAUAAAGCCCUCCAUCUUAAUCCAGAAUUUCUCAAAACGAAAGCGCCUUUUGGUGAAUAUAUGUUCUGCUAGGGCGAGAUGGAGUGGACAAUGAUCCGAUGUCGAGGUGGAGAGCGCUUGUAGUAGAAAAUCAGGGUGGUCCAACUCCCAAUCCACAGAGACAAAGGAGCGAUCAAUUUUGGUGAGCGUGGGUACCCCCCUUUCAUUACUUGAUAUGUCUCCAACGUAUCUAUAAUUUUUGAUUGUUCCAUGUUAUUAUAUUACCCCUUUUGGAUGUUUAUGGGCUUUAUUUUACAUAUUUAUAUCAUUUUUGGGACUAACCUACUAACCGGAGGCCCAACCCGUAUUGUUGUUUUUUUCCCUAUUUCAGUAUUUCGAAGAAACGGAAUAUCAAACGGAGUCCAAACGGAAUGAAACCUUCGAGAGCGUGAUUUGUGGAACGAACGUGAUCCGGAGAACUUGGAGUAUAAGUCAAGAAGCAAACGAGGCGGCCAGGAGAUAGGAGGGCUUGCCCACCCCUCCUAGGCGCGCCCCCUGUCUCCUGGGCCCCACGAGCGGCCACCGACGUACUUCUUCCUCCUAUAUAUACCUACAUACCCCAAAAACAUCCAGAGAGCCAACGGAAAACAAUUUCCACCGCCGUAACCUUCUGUAUCCGCGAGAUCCCAUCUUGGAGCCUUCGCUGGCGCUCCACCGGAGGGGGAAUCGACCAUGGAGGGCUUCUACAUCAACACCAUAGCCUCUCCAAUGAGUUGUGAGUAGUUUACCACAGACCUUCGGGUCCAUAGUUAUUAGCUAGAUGGCUUCUUCUCUCUUUUUGGAUCUCAAUACAAUGUUCUCCCCCUCUCUCAUGGAAAUCUAUUCGAUGUAAACUCUUUUUGCGGUGUGUUUGUCGAGAUCCGAUGAAUUGUGGGUUUAUGAUCAAGUUUAUCUAUGAGAAGUCAUUGAAUCUUCUCUGAAUUCUUUUAUGUAUGAUUGAGUUAUCUUUGCAAGUCUCUAUGAAUUAUUAAUACAUCUCCAACGUAUCUAUAAUUUUUGAUUACUCCAUGCUACUUUAUCUACUGUUUUAGGCAAUAUUGGGCUUUAUUAUCCACUUUUAUAUUAUUUUUGGGACUAACCUAUUAACCGGAGGCCCAGCCCAGAUUUGCUGUUUUAUGCCUAUUUCAGUGUUUCGAGGAAAAGGAAUAUCAGACGGAGUCAAAACGGAACGAAAUCAACUAGAGAACUUAUUUUUGGAAGGAAAGCAACCUGAUAGACUUGGAGUGUACGUCAGGGGAGUACCGGGCUGCCCACGAGGGUGGGGGCGCGCCCACCCCCUUGGGCGCGCCCCCCUCCCUCGUGAGCACCCCGGAGGUCCACCGACGUACCCCCUGCACCCAUAUAUACCUACGUACCCUAAAACUUCCAGAACAGAAAAUAGAUCGGGAGUUCCGCCGCCGCAAGCCUCUAUAGCCACCAAAAACCAACCGUGACCCUGUUCCGGCACCCUGCCGGAGGGGGAUCCCAUCACCGGAGGCCAUAUUCAUCAUCCCGGCGCUAUCCAUGACGAGGAGGGAGUAGUUCACCCUCGGGGCUGAGGGUAUGUACCAGUAGCUAUGUGUUUGAUCUCUCUCUCUCUCGUGUUCUCUCUCGUGUUCCUCUAUGGCACGAUCUUGAUGUAUCCCGAGCUUUGCUAUUGUAGUUGGAUCUUAUGAUGUUUCUCCCCCUCUACUCUUGUGAUGAAUUGAGUUUCCCCUUUGAAGUUAUCUUAUCGGAUUGAUUCUUUAAUGAACACUUGAUGUAUGUCUUGCCGUGAUUAUCUGUGGUGACAAUGGGAUAUCAUGUGCCACUUGAUGUAUGUUUUGGUGAUCAACUUGCGGGUUUCGUGACACUUGGGAACCUAUGCAUAGGGGUUGGCACACGUUCUUGACUCUCCGGUAGUAGUUUUGGGGCGCUCUUUGAAGUACUUUUAUGUUGGUUGGAUGAAUCUGAGAUUGUGUGAUGCAUAUCGUAUAAUCAUGCCCACGGAUACUUGAGGUGACAAUGGAGUAUCUAGGUGACAUUAGGGUUUUGGUUGAUUUGUGUCUUAAGGUGUUAUUCUAGUACGAACUCUUUUAUAGAUCGAUCCGAAAGAAUAAAUUUGUGGUGGUUUCAUACCCGACCAUAAUCUCUACAUUUGUUCUCUGCUAUUAGUGUCUUUGGAGUGACUCUUUGUUGCAUGUUGAGGGCUUGUCAUAUGUUCUAUCUAUGUUAUUAUUGUUGAGAGAACUUGCACUAGUGAAAGUAUGAACCCUAGGCCUUGUUUGCUAUCAUUGCAAUACCAUUUACGCUCACUUUUACCACUUGUUACCUUGCUGUUUUUAUAUUUUCAGAUUACAAAAACCUAUAUCUACUAUCUAUUUUGCACUUGUAUCUUCAUCUCUUCGCCGAACUAGUGCACCUAUACAAUUUACCAUUGUAUUGGGUGUGUUGGGGACACAAGAUGUAACGCCCUCGAUGCGGCUAUAUCUCCCACGUGUCGAAGCACGACUUAGAGGCAUAACCGCAUUGAAAGCAAUGUCGCAAGUGAGGUAAUCUUCACACAACCCAUGUAAUACAUAAGGGCAAGAGAUACAUAGUUUGCUUACAAUCGCCACUUCACACAAUUACAUGAAUAAAGCAUUACAUCAUCCAGAUACAAUCAAGGUCCGACUACGGAACCAAAAUAAAAGAAGAACCCCAAAUGCGACAAAGGUCCCCGAUCGACCCCAACUGGGCUCCACUACUGAUCAACUAAAACGAAACAACACAAAGGGCAAGAUCUUCAUCGAGCUCCUCCUUGAGCUUGGUUGCGUCUCCUGCUCGGUAAUAUAAGCACCUGCAAACUGGUUUUGGAAGUAUCUGUGAGCCACAGGGACUCAGCAAUCUCGCACCCGCGAGAUCAAGACUAUUUAAGCUUAUAGGAAGGCUGGGGUAAUAAGGUGGAGCUGCAGCAAGCGACUAGCAUAUAUGGUGGCUAACAUACGCAAAUGAGAGCGAGAAGAGAAGGCAAAGCACGGUCGAUAAAGGUAUGAUCAAGAAGUGAUCCUGGACUACCUACGUCAAGCAUAACUCCAACAACCAUGUUCACUUCCCGGACCCCGCCGGAAAGAGACCAUCAUGGUUACACACGCGGUUGAUGUAUUUUAAUUAAGGUCAACUUCGGGUUUUCUACAACCGGACGUUAACAAAUUCCCAUCUGCCCAUAACCACGGGCACGGCUUUCGAAAGAUAAUACCCUGCAGGGGUGUCCCAACUUAGCCCAUGACAAGCUCUCACGGUCAACGAAGGAAUAGACCUCCACCCGAGACAUUCCGAUCAGACUCGGUAUCCCGGUACAACAAGACGUUUCGACAGGGUAAAACUAAACCAGCAACACCGCCCGAAUGUGCCGACAAAUCCCGAUAGGAGCUGCACAUAUCUCUUUCUCAGGGCACACUCAGAUUGUCUUAGGUACGGGUAGGCCAACCCAGAGUUGCCCCUGGUGGUCACCGGCAGCUGACAGGUUGGACCAACACUCAGAGGAGCACUGGCCCGGGGGGUAAAAUAAUGAUGACCCUUGAGUCCGCGAAACCCAAGGGAAAAAGAGGCUAGGUGGCGAAUGGUAAAACCAAUGUUGGGCAUUGCUGGAAGAGCUUUACUUAAGGCGAACUGUCAAGGGGUUCCCAUUAUAGCCCAACCGCGUAAGGGACGCAAAAUCCGGGAACAUAACACCGAUAUGACGGAAACUAGGGCGGCAAGAGUGGAACAAAACACCAGGCAUAAGGCCGAGCCUUCCACCCUUCACCAAGUAUAUAGAUGCAUUAAUUAAAUAAGAUAUAACGUGAUAUCCCAACAAGUAAAUAAAUAUUCCAACAAGGAACAACAUCUCCAUGUUCCAACAAGGAACAAACUUCAAUCUUCACCUGCAACUAACAACGCUAUAAGAGGGGCUGAGCAAAGCGGUAACAUAGCCAAACAACGGUUUGCUAGGACAUGGUGGGUUAGAGGUUUGACAUGGCAAUUUGGGAGGCUGACAAGCAAAUGGUAGGCAUCGUAGCAUUGGCAAAGCAAAAGAGCGAGCAAACUAGCAUAGCAAAGAUAGUAGUGAUUUCGAGGGUAUGAUCAUCUUGCCUGAAAUCCCGCAAGGAAGAAGAACGAGUCCAUGAAGAAGACAAACGGACGUAGUUGAACGGAUCCUCACAAACGCGACGUUAUCGGAACCAACCCGAAGAAGCAAUCACCGGAAAAGAAGCACACAACAUAGUAAACAACCAGCACAUCAACAUGGCAUGAUGCGCAAACAAGUAUGAUGCAUGUCCGGUUUAAUGAGGCAUGGCAUGGCAAAGUGCAACAAACAAUACUACAAGUUAAGUGGAGCUCAAUAUGCAACGAGGUGCAUGUUGACGGAACACCACAUCAAUUAUUUAGUUAUCUCUCGUUUAAGCUACCCAACAAUAUUAACUGUUGUUAAACAUGGCAAGAGGUGAAGCAGAAUAUAAACUAUACCAUCUAAACAAUUUAAAUGGGGCCGGAUAUAAAAACAACAAAUCCGGUAAAUCCCCAUAUAAGUUUAGCAAUUUAAUGCAACAACAAUUUAAACAUUUUAAAUGUUGUUAUCAUGAUGCGGAUGACAUAUACAAGUUUUAUGCAAUUUUUAUGAAAAUGUUGACAAGAGCAUUAAGAAGCAUUUGGUCACCAUGGUGGAACAAAAAGGGUGCCACGGCGACGAAUCCGAAAAUGAUGCCACGGCAACAUUCCGGUCCCGGUAACUCAUGGAGGUACCGGUGCAAAAGGAAGUGUGACGUGAGCAAGUCAUGCGAUAGAAGGUGGGGUGAUCCCGGAUACCAGGUUCCCACAAGAUGGUGGCAUGGCAACGAGGAGAAACCUGCACGCGACAAUUUCGGACACGGUGCAAACACGGGCAUCUCAUACAACACACAUGCAUUCGUUCCACGGCGGUCGUUUCGGGUUAUACCUUCGAAGCGUUCAAACGAGAUGGUUCGCAUUCAGAGGGGUGUAGAGGAAGUAGGCGUUCACGGGACGUCGUCGGAAGUAGUUGUACUCGUGCCGACGGUAGUGGAAGUAGUGAUACUAUUCGUCGGUCGUCGUGGUACUUGGGGUCUUCGGACUUGUCGGUCUCGAUUCUUGCGACGGUAGUGGUACACGUGGUAGAUGAACUUGGCGAUCCGAAGGGGUACUUGGCGGGUCGUCGAGGUACGCGUUCUUGGAGAUCCCGUAGACGCGGUAGGGGUACUUGACGCGUCACCGUGUAAACGAACUUGGCGCAUCCGAAGGGUACUUUUAAGCCCACGUAGUCGUACACGUUUUGUAGACGUCCGGUGCGUCCGUAGAUGUACUUGGCGAAAUCCGCGAAGGCGUCCUUGGGCUCCCUGGUUGCCGAGUCUUGGCAAAACGAAGGGGAUCUCGGCGUCCAAGCGAGGAUGAAGACCGCGAUGCGAGGAGGUGGCUUGGGGUCAAAAGACCAAGGCAAAGUGGCGCAGGAAGGUGAGGCUGCCGCAGGAGCUUGAGGGCGCAAGUGGCCAUGGCGCUGAGCGACGAGCUGCUGCUGCUCGAAGCGGACAGAGGCAACUGGGGGGCACGGAUGAGGCCGGGAAGACGGGGAUGAACGCCCAGGUCGCAGGGGAGGCGGGCGACGGAGCACGAGGUGCACGGAGCGGCGUCGGCGAGAGGAUGCAGCAGCAGAAGCUGCUGCCGGCGGCGAGGCCGAGGCGGUGCGGUUCCAGGGGCGGCGAGGAGGAGGUCGAGCACGGCGCUCGCGCGCAGAGGCGACGAGCUCAAGGAGCGGCUCCCCUUGAGCGCUCGGGCGAUGGGGACGGAUGGCGCCGGUGGAGGGAGGAGGCGGCGAGGGGAAACGGAGAGGGGAUCGCGCGAGGUGGAUCGGGAGGAGCGGGGCUCUCCCUGGCGAUGCGAGCAUGCGCGCGAUGGGGAUCGAGUGCGGCGCUGAGGGAGGACGAGGAGGAGAUGGGAUCGGGCAGGGGAUGUUUGGACCGGUCGGGCUAGGGUUAGGAGGGGCGCGGCUGGGCCAUGAUGCAAAUGGGCCGGCCUGGUUGCUGGGCUGCAAGGCUGUCUUCUCCCUCUCUCUUCAAAACUCUUCCAAAAACAGAAAAGCAAAGAAAGAAAGGGAGAGAAAAGAAAUGAGUGGAAAAGAAUUUGGGCAUGGGGGUAAUUUUCCCGGACUCGCAAAAAUGAGUUUGUUCCGAGAAAAAUAGAAAUGGGCAUGAUCGAAAGAUUUAAAUUCAAACUCAUUUGAAAUUCAAAUGGGUUUGAACUAGGACUUGAUGAAAGGAAGGUCCAAAAAUGUUCGGAUUUUUGGUGGAGCUCCGGAAAAUGAUGAAAUAAAUAUUGGCAAGGUUGGAGAACAAGAAUUGAGACAACAGAGGCAUGGAGAAUUAUUUGGAAGUGUGUUAUGGUGAUUCCAAAAAUAGUGGAAUAUUUAAUAUAGCUCCCUAAUAUUGGAGGAUAUGUUAUAAAGAGAAGUCACCAUGUGAGUUCCCUCGGUUUAAAUAGAUCAAAAGAUCUAUGCAAUUUAUUUAGUUGAGGUUUUAAAAAUUAAUGAUAUGAUGGCAUGAUGACAUGAUGCAAUGCACAUGAUGCAAGGAUGAAUGCACGAACAAAACAAAAUCACACAACGAAACUCGGAGUAGCUGGAAGUCUUCUGGAGCGUCGGUCUCGGGGCGUUACAACACUCCACCACUAUAAGAGGAUCUCGUCCCGAGAUCUAGGAUGGCACCGAAGAGAAAUGGAAGAGGAAGAGAAGAGGUAAAACUAAGUUGCUUCUUUGACCAAUGAGUGAAACCAAAGAACCUUGAGAGGUUGAACAAAUUGAAAGAAAGAAUACAAAGAAGAUGAACGAGAUUGCAAACAAUCCGUUAGAAAGAGGAACAAGGAACAUUACGAGAACUUGAAGGUUGCAAAGACAUGAAUCAAGAGUUUAAUGGACAAGAUAGAAUUCGAAACCACUCCGGUUAAAACAAGAUGAGAGGGGAAGAAUUCGGGCAGUACUCCGGUUGAACAUGGAAGGAAUAGAACAUGAACUUGAGAAGAUGGGAUGUUACUUGAUGAAAUCAACAAUACACUGCCUCCAGAACUAUUGAAAGAAUGGCACAAUGGGUAAGAAGGAUUUCAGACAGCUCUCCAUUUGAGGAAGGAGGGAAAACUUGAUAAGAUUAGAGAACUCGAAUGAAAACACGACACUCCGGUUAAAUGGAUAAGCAAGAAAAGAACACGAUCCUCACGAAUCGAGAUGGUGAGUGAAAAGAGCAACGUCACAAUGCCUCCGAAAGAAAUAAUAGAAGAUAUAUCAUUGGAAUAACAUAAUGGAGAAGAAAAUGCCAACUUCUGCCACAAAUGAGUUUGGAAAGCAUCCUUGCAAAGAAGAAUUGAACGGAGUUGUUGGAAAAUCAACAACGAAAAGCACAAGCUUGUAGUGGGCUUAUGGAAACAUCUCAACAUUAUGAGGUGACAACCGGCCACUAACGGAAACAAUUACUUGCUUGAGAUCAAUGAAGAGAUGAAAACUGCUUCACCAAGAUGAUAGAGAUAUUACUUGGAUCAUUGAUAAGCACCACAAAUAGCAACAUUCCUUAGGGAAGGCUUUAGGUGAAAUCUAUACCAAGAUAACUCCAACAACGAGGUUGAUGGAUUUAAAAAUAACUCAUUCUUAACAACAUGUGAAUCAUGGAACAUGAACUCAAAUUAUCAAGAAUGACAUAAUACCACCUCCAAAAUAUGGUAGAAAGAAUUGCACUCCGGAUUACCAUAUAAAGAAAGCUUUUGCUCCUUAGGAAAGAAUCUCGAUGAAAACUUUGAGAAGGGAAUUAAAUCCUUGAUGAACCAUCAUGUAGAACCUCCAUGAAGAACUCCGGUAAACAAAAGGAAUGAAAAGAAAGAGAAAUUGAAAACACAAGGUGAAUCCUUGCAAUGAUUUAGAUGGACCUCCGUGAUAAUUAGAGCUUGGAACUCCGGGAAAAAGAGAAGAUGAAACAAAUGAAACCGAGAAUUUUAAGGGCCUCCGAAAUAAAGAAUUAAUCACUUGGAUGAACAAGAAUAAGAAUUAUGUUAUGCUUAUCCUUCACCAAUUAAAUUGAUGACAAUCAACGGAUUUGGCAUACUACUUAUUCUCGUAGGAAGGAUUAAAAGAGAUAUAUCAAAACUUGAGAAGGUCUUCAACGAACCACCGGUAGGAUUGGAACAACAAAUGAAUUGAUAUGAUGAACAAGGAAGAGAGAUCUUGAAAGAACCACCGUAAGAAUUGAAAAUGAUCGAAGUAGGGAUGCAUCACCGGUAAGAAUUAGCAAAUGAACGAAGGUGCUUGAGACAAACUAGAUACAUGAGAACAAAGAGAUCAAGAACUGAUUAGAGGAUAUUCGAUAGAUGCACCGGCAAGAUAGGAGAAUGAUAACUGACGGCCGAGAAUGAAUAAACAUGAAUUGAUGGACUCCGGAUGACAAACUGAGAAGACUCUUGAAUAUCUCCUGAUGGGUGAAAAAGAUUCUCACAAUCGAAAACAAUUAUGAGAGGAUGGCAACAAGCUAGCACCAUGAAUCUUGAAGAGAAUAGAGAAAGAUUAAAGAGAAACUCUUCUUCGGUCUUCAAAUGAUGAGAAUGACAACGAGAAACACCACCAAGAAUUAUUGAGGCACACCGGAAGAAUCAAAAGCGAAGAGGUUGAGCCAACUAUGAAAAGAAUUUGAAAGAUCUCGGAGAAAAGCAUUUGACUGAUGAUAACUCAUUCUUACGUCAAACUUGGAGAAGAAUUUAGGAUAGCUCUGGGAAAAUAGAAGAGUCAGGUAAGAUCCUGGGAAAAGACCUGUGGGUUAGGGCCCACUCAAAAGAACACCGUUGAAAAGAUUUAAAAGAGAUGUUGCACCGGUUGAAUUAAAUGACUUGAAUGAGAUACCAAACUCGAAAGAGCUUGAACUAAUGCAGAGUGGAAACACAAAUCUUCGAGAUAUCUUGAGUACUCCGGAAUAACAAAUAGCGAGAAGUAGAAUUAUAAUGAGGAGCACCAUCAAGAGAAGGUAUUUGAGACGAGAAAAAGGGGAUAUAAUCGACAAAUCUUGACUUGAAUCCACCGGAGAAGAGAAAGGAAUGAGGAAUGACGAACUUGAAGCUCCAUUAGAAUCUUCAUGAGAAUCACCGGAUAAGAACAUUGAUGGAAAAGAAUGGAGAAACUUCCCAUCAAUAAAAUGGAUACUUGAAGAAGAAAUCUUAGCCCUUGAAGAAAAACAAAAGGGAGGGAGGGUGGGAAAAACAAAGGCAACUUGGAGACGGAUGAAACAAACACCGUUGAGAGAACUGAGAGGUGAUCUUGCGAAUGUUGAAAUGAUCGGAUCCACUUGAAGAGAAAGACGCUGGUUGAAAAGGAUUGACAUGACAAUCUCGAUUGUCGAGAAGGAUUGGUAUUCACAUCGGAGUAUGAGAACACCAUUUCGGAAAGGUAUGGAAUCAACACUUGACAUUGAAGCAACUCGAAUACCACAACUCAAAACAAAAACAAAGGACUGGCUUGCAGAAUAAGCCGGAACAAACAUAUGAUAGAGAUUUCGUCCGAAGUUUUCGUGGUGGGGCCUACACGGGCUCGAUCGUACAGCACCAUCAUGUACAAGGCAGUGCACAUGACAUACGAAGUGUCCCCGAACCAGCAUAGCCAAGGGUUCUUUAAGACACAACGAGACCACUGUAAAAACGACCGUGAAUAGGCGGACCACUAGACGUCGAACCCCAAUUCAUAUCAUACAUCUGUCGGAAAGAUAUCCUAAGAGCUACUCGAAUUCCCACCUAUGAAACUCCCGAAAUUUUCCGGUUAUGCAAUCAGGUGUUGGGGAUACAGGGGAAGCAUAAUAUCUCACCCAAAACUAACAAAUCCUACAUCCAGCUGUAUCCAUCCUUCAACACAUAACCAAGAAACCUUCGGAAACCAUCUACCUCAACCUUCGAAAAGCAUCCGUUAUACAAGUCAUGGCAAUACUCCCGUACUCACCUCAGUACUGGGUUAUCGGGGUUAUCUCACCAACAAACUGCAUAAAAGAGAUUUUCGAUGUCGGCGUACUAAACUCAGGUAUUCCAGAACUGCAACGAUAAAAUUAUGACGACAACACCUCAGAGCUCAACUCCCCGGGACACUUCCACUAAACCCCUGACAGGAGGCACCAAGACAAUGUUGUCAUCAUAAAACCAUCGGAACGAUUCCAAGAUACCCGCGUGAUCCUAAAAAUUUUUUAGUGAAAUUUGAGAAGAGAAGAGUCAAAACUCUACGCCAAGAUGCCUUACCAGAGCGAUGAGGAGACUGGGAAGUAAAAAGAAUUCCUAAACUCUCCGAUAUAUAAUUCCUAAAUGACUCAAAACAUUUUUUCUAGACACAACUCGGCCGCUAAAAACGAUCAAGCAGUGGGGCUCCUAAGGUCGGGGAAGGCUCUGAUACCAACUUGUAACGCCCUCGAUGCGGCUAUAUCUCCCACGUGUCGAAGCACGACUUAGAGGCAUAACCGCAUUGAAAGCAAUGUCGCAAGUGAGGUAAUCUUCACACAACCCAUGUAAUACAUAAGGGCAAGAGAUACAUAGUUGGCUUACAAUCGCCACUUCACACAAUUACAUGAAUAAAGCAUUACAUCAUCCAGAUACAAUCAAGGUCCGACUACGGAACCAAAAUAAAAGAAGAACCCCAAAUGCGACAAAGGUCCCCGAUCGACCCCAACUGGGCUCCACUACUGAUCAACUAAAACGAAACAACACAAAGGGCAAGAUCUUCAUCGAGCUCCUCCUUGAGCUUGGUUGCGUCUCCUGCUCGGUAAUAUAAGCACCUGCAAACUGGUUUUGGAAGUAUCUGUGAGCCACAGGGACUCAGCAAUCUCGCACCCGCGAGAUCAAGACUAUUUAAGCUUAUAGGAAGGCUGGGGUAAUAAGGUGGAGCUGCAGCAAGCGACUAGCAUAUAUGGUGGCUAACAUACGCAAAUGAGAGCGAGAAGAGAAGGCAAAGCACGGUCGAUAAAGGUAUGAUCAAGAAGUGAUCCUGGACUACCUACGUCAAGCAUAACUCCAACAACCAUGUUCACUUCCCGGACCCCGCCGGAAAGAGACCAUCAUGGUUACACACGCGGUUGAUGUAUUUUAAUUAAGGUCAACUUCGGGUUUUCUACAACCGGACGUUAACAAAUUCCCAUCUGCCCAUAACCGCGGGCACGGCUUUCGAAAGAUAAUACCCUGCAGGGGUGUCCCAACUUAGCCCAUGACAAGCUCUCACGGUCAACGAAGGAAUAGACCUCCACCCGAGACAUUCCGAUCAGACUCGGUAUCCCGGUACAACAAGACGUUUCGACAGGGUAAAACUAAACCAGCAACACCGCCCGAAUGUGCCGACAAAUCCCGAUAGGAGCUGCACAUAUCUCUUUCUCAGGGCACACUCAGAUUGUCUUAGGUACAGGUAGGCCAACCCAGAGUUGCCCCUGGUGGUCACCGGCAGCUGACAGGUUGGACCAACACUCAGAGGAGCACUGGCCCGGGGGGGUAAAAUAAUGAUGACCCUUGAGUCCGCGAAACCCAAGGGAAAAAGAGGCUAGGUGGCGAAUGGUAAAACCAAUGUUGGGCAUUGCUGGAAGAGCUUUACUUAAGGCGAACUGUCAAGGGGUUCCCAUUAUAGCCCAACCGCGUAAGGGACGCAAAAUCCGGGAACAUAACACCGAUAUGACGGAAACUAGGGCGGCAAGAGUGGAACAAAACACCAGGCAUAAGGCCGAGCCUUCCACCCUUCACCAAGUAUAUAGAUGCAUUAAUUAAAUAAGAUAUAACGUGAUAUCCCAACAAGUAAAUAAAUAUUCCAACAAGGAACAACAUCUCCAUGUUCCAACAAGGAACAAACUUCAAUCUUCACCUACAACUAACAACGCUAUAAGAGGGGCUGAGCAAAGCGGUAACAUAGCCAAACAACGGUUUGCUAGGACAUGGUGGGUUAGAGGUUUGACAUGGCAAUUUGGGAGGCUGACAAGCAAAUGGUAGGCAUCGUAGCAUUGGCAAAGCAAAAGAGCGAGCAAACUAGCAUAGCAAAGAUAGUAGUGAUUUCGAGGGUAUGAUCAUCUUGCCUGAAAUCCCGCAAGGAAGAAGAACGAGUCCAUGAAGAAGACAAACGGACGUAGUUGAACGGAUCCUCACAAACGCGACGUUAUCGGAACCAACCCGAAGAAGCAAUCACCGGAAAAGAAGCACACAACAUAGUAAACAACCAGCACAUCAACAUGGCAUGAUGCGCAAACAAGUAUGAUGCAUGUCCGGUUUAAUGAGGCAUGGCAUGGCAAAGUGCAACAAACAAUACUACAAGUUAAGUGGAGCUCAAUAUGCAACGAGGUGCAUGUUGACAGAACACCACAUCAAUUAUUUAGUUAUCUCUCGUUUAAGCUACCCAACAAUAUUAACUGUUGUUAAACAUGGCAAGAGGUGAAGCAUAAUAUAAACUAUACCAUCUAAACAAUUUAAAUGGGGCCGGAUAUAAAAACAACAAAUCCGGUAAAUCCCCAUAUAAGUUUAGCAAUUUAAUGCAACAACAAUUUAAACAUUUUAAAUGUUGUUAUCAUGAUGCGGAUGACAUAUACAAGUUUUAUGCAAUUUUUAUGAAAAUGUUGACAAGAGCAUUAAGAAGCAUUUGGUCACCAUGGUGGAACAAAAAGGGUGCCACGGCGACGAAUCCGAAAAUGAUGCCACGGCAACAUUCCGGUCCCGGUAACUCAUGGAGGUACCGGUGCAAAAGGAAGUGUGACGUGAGCAAGUCAUGCGAUAGAAGGUGGGGUGAUCCCGGAUACCGGGUUCCCACAAGAUGGUGGCAUGGCAACGAGGAGAAACCUGCACGCGACAAUUUCGGACACGGUGCAAACGCGGGCAUCUCAUACAACACACAUGCAUUCGUUCCACGGCGGUCGUUUCGGGUUAUACCUUCGAAGCGUUCAAACGAGACGGUUCGCAUUCGGAGCGGUGUAGAGGAAGUAGGCGUUCACGGGACGUCGUCGGAAGUAGUUGUACUCGUGCCGACGGUAGUGGAAGUAGUGAUACUAUUCAUCGGUCGUCGUGGUACUUGGGGUCUUCGGACUUGUCGGUCUCGAUUCUUGCGACGGUAGUGGUACACGUGGUAGAUGAACUUGGCGAUCCGAAGGGGUACUUGGCGGGUCGUCGAGGUACGCGUUCUUGGAGAUCCCGUAGACGCGGUAGGGGUACUUGACGCGUCACCGUGUAAACGAACUUGGCGCAUCCGAAGGGUACUUUUAAGCCCACGUAGUCGUACACGUUUUGUAGACGUCCGGUGCGUCCGUAGAUGUACUUGGCGAAAUCCGCGAAGGCGUCCUUGGGCUCCCUGGUUGCCAAGUCUUGGCAAAACGAAGGGGAUCUCAGCGUCCAAGCGAGGAUGAAGACCGCGAUGCGAGGAGGUGGCUUGGGGUCAAAAGACCAAGGCAAAGUGGCGCAGGAAGGUGAGGCUGCCGCAGGAGCUUGAGGGCGCGAGUGGCCAUGGCGCUGAGCGACGAGCUGCUGCUGCUCGAAGCGGACAGAGGCAACUGGGGGGCACGGACGAGGCCGGGAAGACGGGGAUGAACGCCCAGGUCGCAGGGGAGGCGGGCGACGGAGCACGAGGUGCACGGAGCGGCGUCGGCGAGAGGAUGCAGCAGCAGAAGCUGCUGCCGGCGGCGAGGCCGAGGUGGUGCGGUUCCAGGGGCGGCGAGGAGGAGGUCGAGCACGGCGCUCGCGCGCAGAGGCGACGAAGCUCAGUGGCGACGAGCUCAAGGAGCGGCUCCCCUUGAGCGCUCGGGCGAUGGGGACGGAUGGCGCCGGUGGAGGGAGGAGGCGGCGAGGGGAAACGGAGAGGGGAUCGCGCGAGGUGGAUCGGGAGGAGUGGGGCUCUCCCUGGCGAUGCGAGCAUGCGCGCGAUGGGGAUCGAGUGCGGCGCUGAGGGAGGACGAGGAGGAGAUGGGAUCGGGCAGGGGAUGUUUGGACCGGUCGGGCUAGGGUUAGGAGGGGCGCGGCUGGGCCAUGAUGCAAAUGGGCCGGCCUGGUUGCUGGGCUGCAAGGCUGUCUUCUCCCUCUCUCUUCAAAACUCUUCCAAAAAACAGAAAAGCAAAGAAAGAAAGGGAGAGAAAAGAAAUGAGUGGAAAAGAAUUUGGGCAUGGGGGUAAUUUUCCCGGACUCGCAAAAAUGAGUUUGUUCCGAGAAAAAUAGAAAUGGGCAUGAUCGAAAGAUUUAAAUUCAAACUCAUUUGAAAUUCAAAUGGGUUUGAACUAGGACUUGAUGAAAGGAAGGUCCAAAAAUGUUCGGAUUUUUGGUGGAGCUCCGGAAAAUGAUGAAAUAAAUAUUGGCAAGGUUGGAGAACAAGAAUUGAGACAACAAAGGCAUGGAGAAUUAUUUGGAAGUGUGUUAUGGUGAUUCCAAAAAUAGUGGAAUAUUUAAUAUAGCUCCCUAAUAUUGGAGGAUAUGUUAUAAAGAGAAGUCACCAUGUGAGUUCCCUCGGUUUAAAUAGAUCAAAAGAUCUAUGCAAUUUAUUUAGUUGAGGUUUUAAAAAUUAAUGAUAUGAUGGCAUGAUGACAUGAUGCAAUGCACAUGAUGCAAGGAUGAAUGCACGAACAAAACAAAAUCACACAACGAAACUCGGAGUAGCUGGAAGUCUUCUGGAGCGUCGGUCUCGGGGCGUUACACAAGAGACUCUUUGUUAUUUGGUUGCAGGGUUGUUUGAGAGAGACCAUCUUCAUCCUACGCCUCCCACGGAUUGAUAAACCUUAGGUCAUCCACUUGAGGGAAAUUUGCUACUGUCCUACAAACCUGUGCACUUGCAGGCCCAACAACGUCUACAAGAAGAAGGUUGUGUAGUAGAAUCAAGCUCUUUUCUGGCGUCAUUGCCGGGGAGGCUAGGUAAGUGAAGGUAUAUCUUUAGAUCUUGCAAUUGAAUCUUUUUGUUUCUUGUUUUAGCACUAGUCUAGUUUAUAAAAGAAAACUACAAAAAAAUGGAGUUGAGUUUGUCUCAUACGCUUCAUCUUUUUAAUAUCUUUCGUGAGUAUGAUGGAAAGGAUAAUUGUGCUCAAGUGAUAGAAGAAGAAAUCUAUAGAAUGUUUGGAACUAAAUAUGUGAAUGAUGAGCAUGAUUGCAAUGUUGCUAGUAUGAAUUCCUUCGAUAUCCAUGAUGCUAAUGAUAUGCAAAGCCACAAGCUUGGGGAAGCUAUGUUUGAUGAAGAUGAUAUUUUUUGUCCCCCAAGCUUUGAUGAGCAAAUUUACUAUGAUGAAAGCAUGCCUCCUAUCUAUGAUGAUUAUUGUGAUGACACGUAUGAUUUAAAGAAUAAUGAUAACCAUGAAACGUGUCAUCUUGAUCUUAAUUUUCAACCACAUGAUAGUUAUUUUGUUGAGUUUGCUCCCACUACUAUUCAUGAGAAGAAAUUUGCUUAUGUUGAGAGUAGUAAAUUUUCUAUGCUUGUAGAUCAUGAAAAGAAUGCUUUAGGUGCUGGUUAUAUUGUUGAAUUCAUUCAUGAUGCUACUGAAAAUUAUUAUGAGAUAGGAACAUAUGCUUGUAGGAAUUGCGAUAAUAUCAAGUUUCCUCUCUAUAUGCUUAAAUUCUUAAAUCUAUGCUUGUGUUACCUUCCUAUGCUAGUUGAUUAUUGUUCUCAUAAGUUGUUUGCUCACAAAAUCCCUAUGCAUAGGAAGUGGGUUAGACUUAAAUGUGCUAGUCAUAUGCUUCAUGAUGCUCCCAUUAUGUUUCAAUUCUUAUCUUUUAUGUGAGCAUCAUUGUCAUCAUCAUGCCUAGCUAAAAGGCAUUAAAGAAACGCGCUUGUUGGGAGACAACCCAAUAUUUAUCCUUACUGUUUUUGUGUGUCCACAUGAUUAUGCUACUGUAGUAAUCAUGUUUUAUAGCUUUUGUUUCAAUAAAGUGCCAAGUAGAACCUUUGGGAAGACCUGGGUGAAGUUUAUGUGAUCUUGCUGUGAAAAACAGAAACUUUAGCGCUCACAAGAUUAGCUGCCAUUUGUUACUGGAGAGUUCUUUUAGGUUGAUUCUUUUUGCAGAUGAUUAAUAGACAAAUUUCUCAGGUUGAGCAAUUUAUUUCAUAAUUUUUGGGGUUCCAUAAGUAUACUUUUAUAUAGAUUACUACAGACUGUUCUGUUUUUGACAGAUUCUGUUUUCUAUGUGUUGUUUGCUUAUUUUGAUGAAUCUAUGAGUAGUAUCGGAGGGUAUGAACCAUAGAUAAGUUGGAGUAAAGUAGAUAUUACACCAAUAUGAAUUUAUAAUGAGUUCAUUACAUUACCUAAGUGGUGGUUUUAUUUUCUUAUACUAACGGAGCUCACGAGUUUUCUGUUAAGUUUUGUGUUGUGAAGUUUUCAAGUUUUGGGUAAAGAUUCAAUGGACUAUGGAAUAAGGAGUGGCAAGAGCCUAAGCUUGGGGAUGCCCAAGGCACCCCAAGGUAAUAUUCAAGGACAACCAAGAGCCUAAGCUUGGGGAUGCCCCGGAAGGCAUCCCCUCUUUCUUCUUCGUUCAUCGGUAACUUUACUUGGAGCUAUAUUUUUAUUCACCACAUGAUAUGUGUUUUGCUUGGAGCAUCAAUUUAUUUUGUUAGUUUUUGCUUGUUGUUAUUCAGAUUAGCGUUUUGCAUCUUUAGUUUCAAUACAAAAGUCAAGGAUAGCCUUUGCCAUGCUUAUUUUGCUAGUUUGCAUGUUGCUGUUUGAAAACAGAAAGUUUACCGCUGUUGCAAAAAUUCCCUAGAAAAUUGAGAGCAUGGUCUAACGUUGAAUCUUUUUGAAUAUUGAGCUAUGAUAAAUUUAUUAUAGUGGGAAUUUUAGUUCAUAAUUUUUGGAGUCAGGGAAGUAUUGAUACUCUUGCAUUCUUUACAGACUGCACUGUUUUGGCAGAUUGCUGUUAUGGUUGCAUUGUUUGCGUAUGUUUGCUUGUUUAAUGAUUCUAUUUGAAGAUAGGAGUAUUAAAUAUGCAGAGCCAUUUAGUAUGAAAUGUUGAAUAAUAAUUUAAGUGAUUUUCUACAGUAUAAUAUGAUAAGGUUUUGCAUUGGUUUAUACUAACCUAUCUCACGAGUUCUUGUUGAGUUUGUUGUGAAUGAAGCUUUUGAUAAAAAGAGAAACCAUGAUAUGAGAGGAAUUAAGGAGACACAAAAGCUCAAGCUUGGGGAUGCCCAAGGCACCCCAAGAUAAUAUUUCAAGAAGUCUCAAGCAUCUAAGCUUGGGGAUGCCCCGGUAGGCAUCCACCUUUCUUCUUCAACAACUAUCGGUUAGUAUCGGUUGAGCCUAAGUUUUUGCUUCUUCACAUGAGUUGUGCUAUCCUUGCAAUGUAGUUUUCUUUACCUUUGCUUGCUAUUUGAAUAAGUAUCAAGAUCUGAAAUUAUUAAAUCGGAGAGUCUUUGCAUAGUUGCAUAAUUAUUUAGGUACUCAUUGACCUUCACUUAUAUCUUUCGGAGUAGUUUGUCAUUUGCUCUAGUGCUUCACUUAUAUCUUUUAGAGCAUGUUGGUGGAUUUGUUUUAAAUAAAAUAUUGAUCUCUCAUGCUUCACUUAGAUUAUUUUGAGAGUCUUAAAUAGCAUGGUAAUUUGCUUGAUAUUAAUAUACUUGGUAUUCAAGAUAUGUGAAACUUUCUUUUGAGUGAAUUGAAUACUAAGAUAAAUUUGAUGCUUGAUAAUUGUUUUGAGAUAUGGAGGUGAUAAUAUCAAAGUUGUGCUAGUUGGGUAAUUGUGAAUUUGAGAAAUGCUUGUGUUGAAGUUUGCAAGUCCCGUAGCAUGCACGUAUGGUUAAAGUUGUGUAACAAAUUUGAAACAUGAAGUGUACUUGGCUUGUGCAUCCUUAUGAGUGGCGGUCGGGGACGAGCGAUGGUCUUUUCCUACCAAUCUAUCCCCCUAGGAGCAUGCGCGUAGUACUUGAUUUUUGAUGACUUAUAAAUUUUUGGAAUAAGUAUAUGAGUUAUUUUGACUAAUGUUGAGUCCAUGGAUUAUACACACUUUUACCUUUCUGCCACUGCUAGCCUCUUCGGUACCGUGCAUUGCCCUUUCUCACCUUGAGAGUCGGUGCAAACUUCGUUGGUGCAUCCAAACCCCGUGAUACGAUACACUCUAUCACCCAUAAACCUCCUUAUAUCUUCCUCAAAACAGCCACCAUACCUACCUAUUAUGGCAUUUCCAUAGCCAUUCCGAGAUAUAUUGCCAUGCAACUUCCAUCAUCAUCAUCAUGACAUACAUUACUUUUGUCAUAUUGCCAUUGCAUUAUCAUGUAGUUGACAUCGUAUUUGUGGCAAAGCCACCAUGCAUUAUUUUUCAUACAUAUCACUCUUGAUUCAUUGCACCAUCCUGGUACACCGCCGGAGGCAUUCAUAUAGAGUCAUAUCUUGUUCUAAGUUUCGAGUUGUAAUCCUUGCUGUUGUAAUUAAUAGAAGUGUGAUGAUCAUCAUUAUUAGAGCAUUGCCCAAAAAAAAGAGAAAGGCCAAAAAAAGGCCCAAAAAAAGAAAAGAAAAGAAAAGAAAAGGACAAUGCUACUAUCUCUUUUUCCACACUUGUGCUUCAAAGUAGCACCUUAUUCCUCAUGUAGUGAGUCUCAUAUAUUGUGCUUCAAAGUAGCACCUUACUCUUCAUGUAGUGAGUCUCAUAAGUUGUCUUUUUAUACUAGUGGGAAUUUUUCAUUAUAGAUCUUGGCUUGUAUAUUCCUACGAUGGGCUUCCUCAAAUGCCCUAGGUCUUCAUGAGCAAGCAAGUUGGAUGCACACCCACUAGUUUUCUUUUGUUGAGCAUUCAUAGCUCUAGUGCAUCCGUUGCAUGGCAAUCCCUACUCCUCAUGUUGACAUAAAUUGAUGGGCAUCUCCAUAGCCCAUUGAUUAGCCUUGUCAACGUGAGACUUUCUCCUUUUUGUCUUCUCCACACAAUCCCCAUCAUCAUAUUCUACUCCACCCAUAGUGCUAUAUCCAUGGCUCACGCUCAUGUAUUGCGUGAAGGUUGAAAAAGUUUGAGAUUAUUUGAGUAUGAAACAAUUGCUUGGCUUGUCAUCGGGGGUAUAGAAGUUGGGAACAUCUUUGUGUGACGAAAAUGAAGCAUAGUCUAACUAUAUGAUUUUGUAGGGAUGAACUUUCUUUUGCCAUGUUAUUUUGAGAAGACAUGAUUGCUUUGAUUAGUAUGCUUGAAGUAUUAUUAUUUUUGCAUCAAUAUGAACUUUUGUCUUGAAUCUUUCGGAUCUGAAUAUUCAUAUCACAAUUAAGAAGAUUUACAUUGAAAUUAUGCCAAAGUAUCACUCCGCAUCAAAAAUUCUUUUUUAUCAUUUACCUACUCAAGGACGAGCAGGAAUUAAGCUUGGGGAUUCUUGAUACGUCUCCAACGUAUCUAUAAUUUUUGAUUACUCCAUGCUACUUUAUCUACUGUUUUAGGCAAUAUUGGGCUUUAUUAUCCACUUUUAUAUUAUUUUUGGGACUAACCUAUUAACCGGAGGCCCAGCCCAGAUUUGCUGUUUUAUGCCUAUUUCAGUGUUUCGAGGAAAAGGAAUAUCAGACGGAGUCAAAACGGAACGAAAUCAACUGGAGAAGUUAUUUUUGGAAGGAAAGCAACCUCAUAGACUUGGAGUGCAUGUCAGGGGAGUCCCGGGCUGCCCACGAGGGUGGGGGGCGCGCCCACCCCCCUGGGCGCGCCCCCUACCUCGUGAGCACCCCGGAGGUCCACCGAUGUACCCCCUGCACCCAUAUAUACCUACGUACCCUAAAACUUCCAGAACAAAAAAUAGAUCGGGAGUUCUGCCGCCGCAAGCCUCUAUAGCCACCAAAAACCAAUCAGGACCCUGUUCCGGCACCCUGCCGGAGGGGGAUCCCAUCACCGGAGGCCAUCUUCAUCAUCCCGGUGCUAUCCAUGACGAGGAGGGAGUAGUUCACCCUCGGGGCUGAGGGUAUGUACCAGUAGCUAUGUGUUUGAUCUCUCUCUCUCUCGUGUUCUCUCUCGUGUUCCUCUAUGGCAUGAUCUUGAUAUAUCCCGAGCUUUGCUAUUGUAGUUGGAUCUUAUGAUGUUUCUCCCCUCUACUCUGUUGUGAGGAAUUGAGGUUCCCCUUUGAAGUUAUCUUAUUAGAUUGAGUCUUUAAUGAACACUUGAUGUAUGUCUUGUCGUGAUUAUCUGUGGUGACAAUGGGAUAUCAUGUGCCACUUGAUGUAUGUUUUGGUGAUCAACUUGCGGGUUUCGUGACACUUGGGAACCUAUGCAUAGGGGUUGGCACACGUUCUUGACUCUCCGGUAGUAGCUUUGGGGCGCUCUUUGAAGUACUUUUAUGUUGGUUGGAUGAAUCUGAGAUUGUGUGAUGCAUAUCGUAUAAUCAUGCCCACAGAUACUUGAGGUGACAAUGGAGUAUCUAGGUGACAUUAGGGUUUUGGUUGAUUUGUGUCUUAAGGUGUUAUUCUAGUACAAACUCUUUUAUAGAUCGAUCCGAAAGAAUAACUUUGUGGUCGUUUCGUACCCGACCAUAAUCUCUACGUUUGUUCUCUGCUAUUAGUGUCUUUGGAGUGAGUCUUUGUUGCAUGUUGAGGGCUUGUCAUAUGUUCUAUCUAUGUUAUUAUUGUUGAGAGAACUUGCACUAGUGAAAGUAUGAACCCUAGGCCUUGUUUCCUAUCAUUGCAAUACCGUUUACGCUCACUUUUACCACUUGUUACCUUGCUGUUUUUAUAUUUUCAGAUUACACAAACCUAUAUCUACUAUCUAUUUUGCACUUGUAUCUUCAUCUCUUCGCCGAACUAGUGCCCCUAUACAAUUUACCAUUGUAUUGGGUGUGUUGGGGACACAAGAGACUCUUUGUUAUUUGGUUGCAGGGUUGUUUGAGAGAGACCAUCUUCAUCCUACGCCUCCCAUGGAUUGAUAAACCUUAGGUCAUUCACUUGAGGGAAAUUUCCAACUGUCCUACAAACCUGUGCACUUGCAGGCCCAACAACGUCUACAAGAAGAAGGUUGUGUAGUAGACAUCAAUUAUCAGUUUGGUUUGGCCUACUAGUUGAUCUUUCUUGCAUGGGAGAAGUGCUUAGCUUUGGGUUCAAUCUUGCGGUGUCCUUACCCAGUGACAGAAAAGGUUGCAAGGCACGUAUUGUAUUGUUGCCAUCAAGGAUAAAAAGAUGGGGUUUAUAUCAUAUUGCUUGAGUUUAUCCCUCUACUUCAUGUCAUCUUUCUUAAUGCGUUACUCUGUUCUUAUGAACUUAAUACUCUAGAUGCAUGCUGGAUAGCGGUUGAUGUGUGGAGUAAUAGUAGUAGAUGCAGGCAGGAGUCAGUCUACUUGUCACGGACGUGAUGCCUAUAUACAUGAUCAUCCCUAGAUAAUCUCAUAAUUAUUCGCUUUUCUAUCAAUUGCUCGACAAUAAUUUGUUCACCCACCGUAAUACUUAUGCUAUCUUGAGAGAAGCCACUAGUGAAAUCUAUGGCCCUUGGGUCUAUCUUUUAUCAUAUAAGCUUUCAAUCUACUUUUAUUUGCAUAUUUACUUUUUGCAUCUAUAUUAUAAAAUACCAAAAAAAUAUUUAUUUUAUCAUACUAUCUCUAUCAUAUCUCACUUUCGCAAGUGGCCGUGAAGGGAUUGACAACCCCUUUAUUGCGUUGGUUGCGAGUUCUUUGUUUGUUUGUGUAGGUGUGUGGGACUUUUGAGGAGCCUCCUACUGGAUUGAUACCUUGGUUCUCAAAAACUAAGGGAAAGACUUACUCUACUUUGCUGCAUCACCCUUUCCUCUUCAAGGAAAACCAACGCAAGCUCAAGACGUAGCAAGAAGGAUUUCUGGCGCCGUUGCCGGGGAGGUCUUCGCUCAAGUCAAGACAUACCAAGUACGCAUCACAAACUCAUCUCCCUCGCAUUUAUAUUAUUUGCCAUUUGCCUCUCGUUUUCCUCUCUCCCACUUCACCCUUGCCAUUUUAUUUGGGGAAAUUUUUGUUUUUGCCACUCUAGAUUUUGCCAAUUUUCCUUAUGCCACUCUAGAUUUUGACAUUUCACUUUUGCCACUCUUUGUUUUUGACAAUUAUCACAAUUGCCAUUUUGUGGCAAAAGAAAAAUAAUUUUAUUUCAUUUUUGCCACUCUUAGCUUUUGAUAAUUAUCACAAUUGCCACUCUAAAAAUUUUGCUUUUGCCACGGGAAUGGCAAUUGUGAUAAUUGUCAAAAAUUAAGAGUGGCAAAAGUGAAAUGUCAAAAUAUAGAGUGGCAUAAGGAAAAUUGGCAAAAUCUAGAGUGGCAAAAACAAAAUUUUCCCUUUUAUUUGCCCUCUCUUUCCCAAUCUUCUCCUCUCUUUCGCUUGCAUUUUUCUGUUUGCUUGUGUGUCGGAUUACUUAUUGCCAUGGCGCAAGAUAAUACCAAAUUGUGUGAUUUCUCCAAUACCAAUUAUAAUGAUUUCCUUAGUACUCCGAUUGCUCCUCUUAAUGAUGUUGAGUCUUGUGAAAUCAAUACUGCUUUGUUGAAUCUUGUUAUGAAAGAUCAAUUCGCCGGCCUUCCUAGUGAAGAUGCCGCUACUCAUCUAAACAAUUUUGUUGAUUUGUGUGAUAUGCAAAAGAAGAAAGAUAUGGAUAAUGAUAUUGUUAAAUUGAAGUUAUUUCCGUUUUCACUUAGAGAUCGUGCUAAAGUUUGGUUUUCGUCUUUGCCUAAAAAUAGUAUUGAUUCUUGGAACAAGUGCAAAGAUGCUUUUAUCUCUAAGUAUUUUCCUCCCGCUAAGAUCAUCACUCUUAGGAACAAUAUUAUGAAUUUUAAACAACUAGAUCAUGAGCAUGUUGCCCAAUCUUGGGAAAGAAUGAAAUUGAUGAUUCGCAAUUGCCCUACUCAUGGUUUGAAUUUAUGGAUGAUCAUACAAAAUUUUUAUGCUGAUUUGAACUUUGCUUCUAGAAAUCUUUUAGAUUCAGCCGCGGGGGCACAUUUAUGGAAAUCAUGUUAGGAGAUGCUACAAAACUUCUUGAUAAUAUUAUGGCUAAUUAUUCUCAAUGGCACACCGAAAGAUCUACUAGUAAAAAAGUGCAUGCUAUAGAAGAAAUCAAUGUUUUGAGUGGAAAGAUGGAUGAACUUAUGAAGUUGUUUGCUACUAAAAAUACUCCCUUUUUCCCAAUUAUAUGCCUUUGUCUACUUUGAUUGAGAAUAAUAAUGAAUCUAUGGAUGUGAAUUUUGUUGGUAGGAAUAGUUUUGGAAACAAUGCUUAUAGAGGAAACUUCAAUUCUAGACCGUUCCCUAGUAAUUCCUCUAAUAAUUAUGGAAAUUCCUACAAUAAUUCUUAUGGUAAUUUCAAUAAGAUGACCUCUUAUUUUGAGAAUAGUGUGAAAUAAUUUAUGAUUUCUCAAAAGAAUUUUAAUGCUUUGCUUGAAGAAAAAUUGCUCAAAGUUGAUGAUUUGGCUAGGAACGUUGAUAGACUUUCGCUUGAUGUUGAUUCUCUUAAACUUAGAUCUUCUCCUCCUAAGCAUGAUAUCAGUGAGUCUCUCAAAGCCAUGAGAAUUUCCAUUGAUGAGUGCAAGGAAAGAACCGCUAGAUUGAAAGAUUGCUUUGUAAAGGCGUCUUCUUCUAGUUUCCAUGAAAAUAAUAAUGAAGAUCUUAAAGUUAUUGAUGUGUCUCCUAUUAGAUCUUUGUUUUGCAAUAUGAAUCUUGAUAAUAAUGGGACUGGAGAUGAGUCAACUUUAGUUAGAAGGCGUCCCAAUAAUUCAGAGUUUUUAGAUCUGGAUCCUAAAUUUGGUAAAAGUGGGAUUGGAGAGGUCAUGAAUUUAAAUAGAUUGAACCCACUAUCUUGGAUUUCAAGGAAUUUGAUUAUGAUAAUUGUUCUUUAGAAGGUUGUAUUUCCUUGUUGCAAUCCGUUGUUAAUUCUCCUCAUGCUUAUAGUCAAAAUAAAGCUUUUACCAAACAUAUCGUUGAUGCCUUGAUGCAAUCUCAUGAUGAAAAACUUAAUUUGGAAGUUUCUAUACCUAGAAAACUUAAUGAUGAGUGGGAACCUACUAUAAAGAUUAGAAUUAAAGAUCAUGAGUGUUUUGCUUUAUGUGAUUUGGGUGCUCGUGUUUCCAUGAUUCCGAAAACUUUAUGUGAUAUUCUAGGUUUCCAUGAUCUUGAUGAUUGCUCUUUAAAUUUGCACCUUGCAGAUUCCACCAUUAAAAAGCCAAUGGGAAGGAUCAAUGAUGUUCUCAUUGUUGCAAAUAGAAAUUUGGUGCCCGUAGAUUUUAUCGUUCUUGAUAUAGAUUGCAAUCUUUUUUGCCCUAUUAUUAUUGGUAGACCUUUCCUACGAUUGGUGCGAUUAUUGAUAUGAAGGAAGGGAAUAUUAGAUUCCAAUUUCCAUUAAAGAAAGGCAUGGAGCACUUUCCAAGAAAGAAAGUCAAGUUACCUUAUGAAUCAAUCAUGCGAGCUACUUAUGAAUUGAGUGCCAAAGAUGGCACUACUUAGAUCUAUCUUCGCUUUUAUGCCUAGCUAGGGGCGUUAAACGAUAGCGCUAGUUGGGAGGCAACCCAAUUUUAUUUGUGUUUUUUGUUUUUGUCCCUGUUUAGUAAUAAAUUUUGCAUCUACCUUAUGUUUAUAUGUGUUUUUAUCUUUUAAUUACUGUUUGUGCCAAGUAGAACCUAUAGGAUAACCUAUGAUGAUAGUUGAUUUGAUUCUGCUGAAAAACAGAAACUUUGUGCGCACGAAUUUAGUUUUGUUAAAUCACAGAAAAGUGCUUUUGUGUUGAUUCUUUUUGAUGCUGAUCAAUAGACAAAUUUUCCAGGACUUCCUAGUUUGGUAGGAUGUUUAGAGUUCCAGAAGUUUGUGUUAGUCACAUAUUGCUACAGACUGUUCUGUUUUUGACAGAUUCUGUUUUUCGUGUGUUGUUUGCUUAUUUUGAUGCAUCUAUGGCUAGUAAAAUAGUUUAUAAACCAUAGAGAAGUUGGAAUACAGGAGGUUUAACACCAAAAUAAAUAAAGAAUGAGUUCAUUAUAGUACCUUAUGUGGUGGUUUUGUUUUCUUUCACUAACGGAGCUUAUAAGAUUUCCUGUUGAGUUUUGUGUUGUGAAGUUUUCAAGUUUUGGGUAAAGCUUUGAUGGACUAUGGAAUAAGGAGUGGCAAGAGCCUAAGCUUGGGGAUGCACAAGGCACCCCAAGAUAUUCAAGAAUAGCCAAAAGCCUAAGCUUGGGGAUGCCCCGGGAAGGCAUCCCCUCUUUCGUCUUCGUUCAUUGGUAACUUUACUUGGAGCUAUAUUUUUAUUCGCCACAUGAUAUGUGUUUUGCAUGGAGCAUCGUGUAUUAUAUUAGUCUAUGCUUUUUAGUUUACCACAAUCAUCCUUGCUGUACACACCUUUUGGGAUAAGCCCACUUGAUUGAAUUUGCUAGAAUACUCUAUGUGCUUCACUUAUAUCUUUUGAGCUUGAUAGUUUUUGCUCUAGUGCUUCACUUAUAUCUUUUAGAGCACGGCGGUGGCUUAAUUUUGUAGAAAUUGCUAGUCUCUCAUGCUUCACUUAUAUUAUUUUGAGAGUCUUUUAGAACAGCAUGGUAUUUGCUAUGGUUAUAAAAUUGGUCCUAGAAUGGUAGGCAUCCAAGUUGGGUAUAAUAAAAACUAUCAUAGGAAGUGAAUUGGAUGCUAUGAUCAAUUUGAUACUUGAUAAUUGUUUUGAGAUAUGGAGGUAGUGAUCUUAAAAGUCAUGCUAGUUGGGUGAUUAUGAAUUUAAAGAAUGCUUGUGUUGAAGUUUUUGAUUCCCGUAGCAUGCGCGUAAUACUUUGUUUUUAUUUGUGAUGAAGUUGGGGCACAAUUUUAUUUGUUGAUUGUCUUCCUUAUGAGUGGCGGUCGGGGACGAGCGAUGGUCUUUUCCUACCAAUCUAUCCCCCAAGGAGCAUGCGCGUAAUACUUUGUUUUUGAUGACUUGUAGAUUUUUGCAAUAAGUAUAUGAGUUCUUUUGACUAAUUUUGAGUCCAUGGAUUAUACGCACUCUUACCCUUCCACCAUUGCUAGCCUCUCUUGUGUCGCACAACUCCCGCCGGUACCAUACACCCACCAUAUACCUUCCUCAAAACAGCCACCAUACCUACCUAUUAUGGCAUUUCCAUAGCCAUUCAGAGAUAUAUUGCCAUGCAACUUUCCACCGUUCCGUUUAUAUGACACGCAUCAUCAUUGUCAUAUUGCUCUUUGCAUGAUCAUGUAGUUGACAUCGUAUUUGUGGCAAGGCCACCUUCAUAAUUUUCAUACAUGUCACUCUUGAUUUAUUGCAUAUCCCGGUACACAGCUGGAGGCAUCCAUAUAGAGUCAUAUUUUGUUCUAGUCUUGAGUUGUAAAUCAAUAAAAGUGUGAUGAUCUUCAUUAUUAGAGCAUUGUCCCAGUGAGGAAAGGAUGAUGGAGACUAUGAUUCCCCCACAAGUCGGGAUGAGAGUUCGGACUUUACAAAAGAAGAAAAAAAGUGAAAGGCCAAAAAAAAGAAAGGCCAAAGAAAAAAAAGGAAGAAAGAAAGAAAAAAAAGAAUAAAAGAAAAAAAUGAGAGAAAAAGAGAGAAGGGACAAUGCUACUAUCCUUUUACCACACUUGUGCUUCAAAGUAGCACCAUGAUCUUCAUGAUAGAGAGUCUCCUAUGUUAUCACUUUCAUGUACUAGUGGGAAUUUUUCAUUAUAGAACUUGGCUUGUAUAUUCCAAUGAUGGGCUUCCUCAAAAUUCCCUAGGUCUUCGUGAGCAAGCGAGUUGGAUGCACACCCACUUAGUUUCUUUUGUUGAGCUUUCAUACAUUUAUAGCUCUAGUGCAUCCGUUGCAUGGCAAUCCCUACUCACUCACAUUGAUAUCUAUUAAUGGGCAUCUCCAUAGCCCGUUGAUAUGCCUAGUUGAUGUGAGACUAUCUUCUCCUUUUCUGUCUUCUCCACAACCACCAUUCUAUUCCACAUAUAGUGCUAUGUCCAUGGCUCACGCUCAUGUAUUGCGUGAAAGUUGAAAAAGUUUGAGAUUACUAAAGUAUGAAACAAUUGCUUGGCUUGUCAUCGGGGUUGUGCAUGAUUAAAUACUUUGUGUGAUGAAGAUAGAGCAACAGCCAGACUAUAUGAUUUUGUAGGGAUAACUUUCUUUAGCCAUGUUAUUUUGAGAAGACAUGAUUGCUUUGAUUAGCUUGCUUGAAGUAUUACUAUUUCUUAUGUCAAUAUUAACUUUUAUUUUGAAUCAUUUGGAUCUGAACAUUCAUGCCACAAUAAAGAAAAUUACAUUGAGAAUUAUGCUAGGUAGCAUUCCACAUCAAAAAUUCUGUUUUUAUCAUUUACCUACUCGAGGACGAGCAGGAAUAAUGCUUGGGGAUGCUUGAUACGUCUCCAAUGUAUCUAUAAUUCUUGAUUGUUCCAUGCUAUUAUAUUACCCUUUUUGGAUGUUUAUGGGCUUUAUUUUACAUAUUUAUAUCAUUUUGGGACUAACCUACUAACCAGAGGCCCAGCCCGUAUUGCUCUUUUUUUGCCUAUUUCAGUAUUUCGAAGAAAAGGAAUAUCAAACGGAGUCCAAAUGGAAUGAAACCUUCGGGAGCGUGAUUUUUGGAACAAACGUGAUCCGGAGAACUUGGAGUGCAAGUCAAGAAGCAAACGAGGCGGCCAGGAGAUAGGAGGGCUCGCCCACCCCUCCUGGGCGCACCCCCUGUCUCCUGGGCCCCACGAGCGGCCACCGACGUACUUCUUCCUCCUAUAUAUACCUACGUACCCCAAAAACAUCCAGAGAGCCAACGGAAAACAAUUUCCACUGCCGUAACCUUCUGUAUCCGCGAGAUCCCAUCUUGGAGCCUUCGUCGACGCUCCACCGGAGGGGGAAUCGACCACGGAGGGCUUCUACAUCAACACCAUAGCCUCUCCGAUGAGUUGUGAGUAGUUUACCACAGACCUUCGGGUCCAUAGUUAUUAGCUAGAUGGCUUCUUCUCUCUUUUUGGAUUUCAAUACAAUGUUCUCCCCCUCUCUUGUGGAGAUCUAUUCGAUGUAAACUCUUUUUGCGGUGUGUUUGUCGAGAUCCGAUGAAUUGUGGGUUUAUGAUCAAGUUUAUCUAUGAGAAAUAUUUGAAUCUUCUCUGAAUUCUUUUAUGUAUGAUUGAGUUAUCUUUGCAAGUCUCUUUGAAUUAUCAGUUUGGUUUGGCCUACUAGAUUGAUCUUUCUUGCCAUGGGAGAAGUGCUUAGCUUUGGGUUCAAUCUUGCGGUGUCCUUACCCAGUGACAGAAAGGGUUGCAAGGCACGUAUUGUAUUGUUGCCAUCAAGGAUAAAAUGAUGGGGUUUAUAUCAUAUUGCUUGAGUUUAUCCCUCUACAUUAUGUCAUCUUUCUUAAUGCGUUACUCUGUUCUUAUGAACUUAAUACUCUAGAUGCAUGCUGGAUAGUGGUCGAUGUGUGGAGUAAUAGUAGUAGAUGCAGGCCGGAGUCAGUCUAAUUGUCACGGACGUGAUGCCUAUAUACAUGAUCAUGCCUAGAUAAUCUCAUAAUUAUUCGCUUUUCUAUCAAUUUCUCGAUAGAAAUUUGUUCACCCACCAUAAUACUUAUGCUAUCUUGAGAGAAGCCACUAGUCAAACCUAUGGCCCCCGGGUCUAUCUUUUAUCAUAUAAGCUUUCAAUCUACUUUUAUUUGCAUCUUUACUUUUUGCAUCUAUAUUAUAAAGUACCAAAAAUAUAUUUAUCUUAUCAUACUAUCUCUAUCAGAUCUCACUUUCGCAAGUGGCCGUGAAGGGAUUGACAACCCCUUUAUUGCGUUGGUUGCGAGUUCUUUGUUUGUUUGUGUAGGUGCGUGGGACUUUUGAGGAGCCUCCUACUGGAUUGAUACCUUGGUUCUCAAAAACUAAGGGAAAUACUUACGCUACUUUGCUGCAUCACCCUUUCCUCUUCAAGGAAAACCAACGCAAGCUCAAGACAUAGCAUUACUCCACGUGAAUCUAUGACCAUGCAGGAACAACUCUUUUAGACCAUGAUCGUCCACAAAGCGCUUGAACAUUCCCAUCAUUCGACGAUCCAGUGCCGAAUUGUUUUUAUCUGCCGCGUAUAAGAUUAAGUUGAAGUCACCAAUUACCAACCACGGUCCAGGGCACAACAUCCUGCGCUCGAAAGCUCCUGUAGAAAGUUAACCUUUUGCUCGUCUUCUUGUGGCCCAUAGACCACCGAAAGCCACCAAGGGGUGCCUUCCUUAGGUGACACAAAACCCGUAAUGAAGUUUGUGUCAUUGACAAAAUUUGUCAAUAGGACCUUAUUGGAAUCCCAAACCACAAAGCUCCCACCUCUCGUAUCGGACACCGGCAGAUAAGUAAAGCCAUCAUAAUUAGGACCCAUACAUUGUAGGACUACAAAUUGAUCUACCAAGUCAAGCUUAGUUUCUAGAAUACAAAUGAUCGCCACUCGCACAGAAUCUACGAACUCUCUGAGCGACUUUAUUUUUGCUGGACUGUUGAGUCCACGCACAUUCCAGCACACCAACUCCAUCGCGUCGCACGACAUCAGGAAGUGAAGCUCCCAUGUCGCCCACCGGCUACCUAUUGGACCAUAACCGGCUCAGACUUCUCCAACUCAUCGCCAAGGUUGAGAGGGAUCGCCUUCCCGAAGAUGGCUGCAAUAGCUCUGAACUAUGGUUCCUGCAGUGGAGAAUCAAACACCAUCCUGAGCUGACCUAGCGCAUCUUCGGAGAUUGCCAGGUGUCGGUGUCAAAACCGGUGGAUCUCGGGUAGGGGGUCCCGAACUGUGCGUCUAGGCGGAUGGUAACAGGAGACAAGGGACAUGAUGUUUUUACCCAGGUUCGGGCCCUCUCGAUGGAGGUAAAACCCUACUCCUGCUUGAUUGAUAUUGAUGAUAUGGGUAGUACAAGAGUGGAUCUACCACGAGAUCAAGGAGGCUAAACCCUAGACGCUAGCCUAUGGUAUGAUUGUUGUAAUGGUUUUUCGUCCUACGGACUAAAACCCUCCGGUUUAUAUAGACACCGGAGAGGGCUAGGGUUACACAAUGUCGGUUACAAUGGUAGGAGAUCUACAUAUCCGUAUUGACAAGCUUGCCUUCCACGCCAAGGAAAGUCCCAUCCGGACACGGGACGAAGUCUUCAAUCUUGUAUCUUCAUAGUCUUGGAGUCCGGCCGAUGAUGAUAGUCCGGCUAUCCGGACACCCCCUAGUCUAGGACUCCCUCAGUAGCCCCUGAACCAGGCUUCAAUGACGAUGAGUCCGGCGGGCAUGUUGUCUUCGGCAUUGAAAUGCGGGUUCCUCCUCCGAAUAAUUCAUAGAAGAUUGUGAACACCAGGAUAGUGUCCGGCUCUGUAAAAUAAAUUCCACAUACCACUAUAGAGAGAAUAAUAUGUACACAAGCUCAAUCUGCUGAUGUAUUUUGUGGCGUGACGUCACACCACUACCAAGCCUUUACUUGAAUCGUUUUUAUUAUACCACCUCAGCGCGUUUAGCGAAGCGGUUUCCUUGGCACAUCUUGUCGAAGCAGAGAUCAUGUUCCCCUUAUUCCGGGAUUCCCAUCAAUACGGACGUGGGUAACCCAACCGCGCCAUUGAUCGUGGCGCUUGGGAUAUAAGCGAGUUUUACCAGGCCGGUGGGGACGUAUAGUCUUCGUACGCCCAUAUAUAAGGGGAUAAGGAUCCACCUUUUUUACCUACGCCUUCUUCCUCCUUUGCUUAUCCAUCUCCGCGCACUCGAGCUCUAGCGCACAAGUCCGCACAUCUCACCUCAACCUUCUCCAUCCAUGUCCGGAGUGGGAGGCAAGUGGAUGGCCUCCUCCAUUACGGAGGGGCACAUCGAGAAACUGCGCGGCGCCGGAUACCUGUCCGGCGACAUCGCGCACCGGCUGCCCGACGAGGGGCAACUCAUCCCCACCCCCAGGCCCCAUGAGAGGGUCGUAUUUCUUCCACACUUCCUCCGCGGACUGGGCUUCCCACUUCACCCCUUCGUCCGGGGGCUCAUGUACUACUACGGCCUGGACUUCCACGAUCUGGCGCCAAACUUCAUCCUCAACAUCUCGGCGUUUAUCGUCGUGUGCGAGGCCUUCCUCUGCAUCCAGCCCCACUUCGGCCUGUGGCUAAAGACCUUCAACGUCAAGCCGAAGGUGGUGAAGGGCGUCCAAGCGGAGUGCGGAGGCGCCAUGGUGGGUAAAAUGCCCAACGUCACUUGGCUUGAGGGUGCCUUCGUGGAAUCCAUCAAAGGGUGGCAAUCGGGGUGGUUCUACAUCACGGAGUUGCGCGACCCUAAAUGGGCGGCGGCCCCCGAGUUCAGAUCUGGUAUCCCCAUGCAGCUUACCUCCUGGAAAGAGAAGGGCUUGCUAUGGGGUAGUUCCGAGGAGCUGACCAGACUCCAGUCCUGUCUCCAGACCCUGGUGAACAAGAAGCUUAAACUUGUCAACGUGAUCCAGGUCAUGCUCGUCCACCGGAUUCUCCCCUGCUAGCAACAGGCCUUCAAUUUGUGGGAGUUUGAUCCGGCACAGCACCGGACCUUGAGCGGGCUCUUCGACACGACGUACGAAGCUGCCUGGAGGGUGCUGUUCAAGGGCGGAGAAGCCCCCGCAUCCGCAACUGAAGAUCGCGGAUUCAGCACACAACGCCCGGCCGGCGAGGUAAGCUAUGUUAUCCUUUACGGGAUACUCAUUUCUUUCAUAGUUUGACUCUAUGUGGGAUCUAAACUCCCAAUGCCUUUAACAGGACUGGCAGAAGACGUCCGGACAGGUUAACUGUCCGACUCCCCUUCCAGAAGACCCAGCGGACACCCGUUUGACGGGGCUGCUAGUCCCGGCACUCUACGUGGUGCCGGAGAGGAAGGCCAAGAAGAAGGCCACGGGAACCCGAAGGAGUUCCCGGCACCAGGUGGUAUCGGGCUCAUCGUCCGAUGACUCCGAGGUGGACUCCUCCCCCGAGGAGGAGGAGAAAGAUGCCUCUUCCCCAGCGGGGGGAGAGAAGAAGAGGAAGGCCUCCCCAACAAGGGUGGCCGAAGGGUCCAAGAAAGGACGGACCCUUCCCCCGGACUGCUCCGCCAACGCCGACAACGGCGACGAGGAGUGGCCCUCAAGGGCCAAGCCCCUGGCAAGAUCGUAAGUGUCCGGAUUCCUGGAUGAUUUAUAAUUUCUCUUUUUGCCAUGUGGUGUCCUUCUAAUACCGCAUACAACCUGUAGUCCGGCCAAGGACGAUCUUCCCGCUUCGUCGAGCGGGUCCUUGGCUACGUCGGAUAUGGAUUCCCUUCCGACCGCCUCCACCCCUCGUGAUGCUGAUGACACCGAGGUGGGGUCCCAGGAGGAGACCCGCCAGGAGGGGGAGGCUCCGGAGGUGCCACAGGGCAACCUCCCGGAAUUCGCACCAGACUCCGCGCCGGAACCUGCAGUGGUUCCGGAGUCCGGCAGGUGGCCCCUUCGUAAGAAGGGCAAGACUGUGACACCGGCAGCCUCCGUCCAACCGGAGUCGCCGGAUAACUUGUUGGAGGCGCUCAACAGCGCUUCCAUCGAGGAAGAACACCGCACUAUCAUGAGUGCGGUGAUUCAGAAGGUUCAACUCGCCAAGAGCGGGCUGACCGAAGCCCGCAGCAGCCUUCUAACAGGCUUUGAGGUAAGAAAUUUAAGAUAUGUAAUAUAAUACCACAUAGACAAUAGCCCCUGAUGCUCGGUUCGGUGUUCGGAAAGAAAAGCCGGACUGAGGAUCUAAAAAGAUAUACGCAGGAGUUCUAAAAAUUAUGUCAAUAUGGAUUGCAGGCUGCGUUGUUGACCUCUGUCGCGCUGACUGCGGAGGUUGAUGCUUUGAAGCAGAACCUCGAGCGGUCCGAGAAUGAGCUUGGCCUUGCCAAGAAGCAGCUCGAGGACAAGGAAGUUGAGUAACACUGUAUUAAAUUUGUACCUUACAGAAAAGGAUUUUGGUUGCAAGAGAAAUAACAGGGAUAACGUGCGUACUGCAGGAGCCACGAACGAGGUGGCGACCCUGAAGGAGGCCGUGUCCGCGGCCGAACAUAAUGCGGCCACGGAACGAGCUGAGCGAGAGAAGCAGGAGGCGCAGGUGGCGGAGGUGCAGCAAGAGCUCCAGGCUCUCGUGGAAAAGCAUGAGAGUUUGGAGCGUGACUCAAAGACUCGAGAGUCCGAGCUUGCAUCGGCUCUUGAGAGUGCCAAAGCUGCUAAGGCCGAAGUCCAUAAGGCCCUCCAGGAAAUUGAGGCAUUGAAGAAAAUAGCAGCGGGUAAGGCAUUUUUCAUGCAAAGCAAGCAUGUGAAUGUGAAUUACCUGUUACUUACCCGAAUUCGGAGCUCUCCAGGAGCGUUUGCAGAUCUGCCUCGCAGCGUGUCCGAUGCUGCCGCUUUCUACCGGGCCGAGGAGAGGAGCUCGACGGAGAAGGUCUUCUGGUCUUAGUAUGCUGAGGCCGGACAUCCGGUGCCCCUUAGCGACCAGCUGAAGCAGCUGGUCGAGCUCCACAAGGUAGCCGAACAGGCCAUCAAGGGCCUCAUAGUUCGGCUGUGGCCCAAGGAGGCCAUGCCUGGGAGCUACUUCGGCCUGGUGCGGCGGCUGGUGGAUGUGUGUCCCUAGGUGGAAGUCGUCAAGCAAUUCGCCUGCAUUGAAGGUGCCCGUCGGGCCCUUGCCCGUGCAAAAGUGCACUGGGGCAGGAUGGACGCCGAGGAGCUUCUGAUGGACGCGCCGCCGGCGGGCAAGGAGUAUCGCACGCCCGAAAUGUAUUAUAAGAGUGUCCUGAAGGGAGCCCGCAUGAUUGCGGAUGAGUGCUCCAAGGAUGUAAUAUUUGAGUAGAAUCGCAUUAUGUUAUCCUGUGCGCUGAAAACUGUGUUCAUAUGCGCUAAGCAACGCUUAUUAAUUUAAAAUAUUACCUUCUGUGCGGCCGUUUAUCAAAUCUGAGAGAUGGCAAGUCGUCGGCUUCAGCCCCCAUGCCACUAGUGCUGGGGUGUUCGUGAUAACUUGAGCACUCUUGCUCCCAUGUUUGGGUCCAUCUAUGGAGGCGCUCAACACAACGAACGAGGCAAUCGGACUUAUAAUGCUUGAACACUCUCACUUAGCCAUAUAAUUCUAUAAUUUUAAAUUUCGGCGAAGCCCCUAGUGUUCGGAAGACCGAGUUCGGGGCGCUAUCCACGCCUGGGCCGGACAAAGCCGGUUCCUCGCUCUAAGCGGCAUAAGUCUUUAGGGACUCGAAAAAACCUCUCGAACAACGACCAGCUCUCGCCUUAUCAUGACGGUCAGUUUUAGGUUUCUCCACUGAGGCGCUCGCCCAGCUCAACCGGGGCGCAAUCGCAGUGGUUCUCCCAGUGCUACCUUAGCCGAUAGAACGGAACGUAAGGUACCAAAACAUGGGAGCCGGGCAAACCCAACUAUUGACCCAAGACAUGAUUCGGAGCCGAUGCAUAUAAUGCUAUAAGUUCGGGGUGCCGCACUUGUGAAAGUGUUCGGACUUAUCACACCAUAAUGCGGAGAACUUAAGCCCUGGUGUAUUCGGCCAUACCAAAGUGUACGGAUGCAGGAUGUCAUAAAUGAACAUAUAUAUAAGAAAGAAAUGCAAUUAUAAGCAAAAAGUGAUGCAUUGUUUAUUCAAGGAAUUCUGCCAUGGAUGCAGAACGAUACAAAUAGUGCGGUAAGCAAGGGAUUGGACUAUUAAACAUGUCCCCCUCCAGGGGUAGGCUGCGGAAUGGUGUAUUAAACAGAUUUAAUGCUCGUAAUGGAGACCACCUGAGUGUUCGUUGUAGCCUUUCUCCUUCCCUGGCUGUUGCAUCGUGAGUUCGGCAGGUCCACUGCCGGACAGGGCCUCUGGUGAACAGAGUCCUGUGGGUAAAAAAGAAAAAAAGAAAAAGAGAGACACACAUGGGAGCCCCUGGUGUGGUUGAGCCGCACUCUGGGUCUGUCGUGGUCGUGCCCCUCCCCCUAUGCCCACGGUAGCUCCAGAGCGUAAUGAUGUACGCGAAGGACUGGUUUUGCAAUUAUGCAGGGGCUGGGGUUGGGGCCGCAUUGCUACGCGUGCUCGGAACGUGCCAGGUGGUCUUGUUGUAGGUUACUCCGGGCGCGUUUGGCCGUGUCCGGUCGCUUAACGGCCGGACUCGAAAAUUGCCUUAAGAGGCUGCUCUGAACUUCUGCCGCAAGAGCCGCUGUGUGUUCCUCCGUUCGGAGGGAGCGUUCAGUGUUUCCGUUGAUCGUGAUGACUCGUCGAGGGCCUGGCAUCUUGAGCUUAAGGUAUGCGUAAUGCGGCACCACGUUGAACUUUGCAAACGCGGUCCGUCCGAGCAGAGCAUGAUAGCCGCUGCGGAACGGGACUAUGUCGAAGAUUAACUCCUCGCUUCGGAAGUUAUCCGGGGAUCCGAAGACCACUUCCAGUGUAACCGAGCCUGUACAAUUGGCCUCUACACCUGGUAUGACGCCUUUGAAGGUCGUCUUUGUGGGUUUAAUCCUUGAGGGGUCUAUGCCCAUCUUGUGCACUGUAUCCUGAUAAAGCAGGUUCAGGCUGCUGCCGCCGUCCAUCAGGACUCUAGUGAGGUGAAAUCCAUCAACGAUUGGGUCUAAAACCAAUGCGGCGAAUCCGCCAUGGCGGAUACUGGUGGGGUGGUCCCUUCGAUCAAAAGUGAUCGGGCAGGAGGACCAUGGGUUGAACUUUGGGGCGACUGGCUCCAUCGCGUAUACGUCCCUGAGUGCACGCUUCCGCUCCUUCUUGGGUAUGUGAGUUGCGUAUAUCAUGUUCACCGUCCGCACUCGUGGGGGGAAACAUUUCUGUCCUCUGUUGUUCGGCGGCCGGGUCUCUUCCUCGUCAUCGCUAUGCAGCCCCUUGUCAUUGUUUUCGGCAAUUAACUUGCCUGCCUGCUUAAAUACCCAACAAUCUCUGUUGGUGUGAUUAGCUGGCUUUUCGGGGGUGCCGUGUAUCUGGCACGAGCGGUCGAGUAUUCGGUCCAAAUUGGACAGACCCGGAGUAGUUCUUUUGAAUGGCUUUUUCCGCUGACCGGGUUUGGAGCCUCUGAAUCCGACGUUGACUGCCGUAUCCUCAGUGUUAUCGCCGUUAACGCGGCAUUUGUUUUUGUUGCGACGCGACCUGCCAUUGCGGUCCUUGUUAUCCGGACUGCCAGAGUUUUUGCUGAGGUUGUUACUGCGGGCUAGCCAGCUGUCCUCUCCCGCGCAGAAGCGGGUCAUGAGUGAUGUGAGGGCUGCCAUGGAUUUCGGCUUUUCCUGUCCUAGGUGCCGGGCCAGCCACUCGUCGCGGAUGUUAUGUUUGAAGGCUGCGAGGGCCUCUGCAUCCGGACAGUUGACGAUUUGAUUUUUCUUUGUGUUAAGAACCAUGUCCAAAAUUGUUUGGCCGAUUCAUCUGGCUGCUGAAUUAUGUGGCUUAGGUCAUCGGCGUCUGGUGGUCGCACAUAUGUGCCCUGGAAGUUGUCAAGGAAUGCGGCUUCCAGGUCCUCCCAACACCCAAUUGACUCUGCUGGCAAGCUGUUAACCCAAUGCCGAGUUGGUCCUUUAAGCUUGAGUUUGAGAUAUUUGAUGGCGUGAAGAUCGUCACCGCGGGCCAUGUGGAUAUGAAGUAGAUAGUCUUUGAUCCAAACCGCGGGGUCUGUUGUGCCAUCGUAGGAUUCAAUGUUCACGGGUUUAAACCCUUCAGGGAUUUGAUGAUCCAUUACUUCAUCUGUGAAGCAUAGUGGGUGUGCGGCGCCUCUAUAUUGGGCUAUAUCACGACGUAGCUCGAGCGAGCUUUGUCUACUGUGUUCGGCCCGGCCGGAGUUGCUGUAUCCGGCGCGACGGUAGUCGUCGCACGUCGUGGGGCGCCCACGUGAUCCGUAGAUCGAUCUUGAUUGUCUUGCCUUGUCCUCCAAUAUGUCUCGCAAGUCCGGCGCAUUCCCCCGUGGCUUCGUACUUUUCGAGCGGUGCCGGGGUACGGUCCAGAUGGAGAGCCUAGAGGCCUCUCUGUCGCGGCCACGAGGUGGUCGGUCUGCCGUAUUGUGCGCUGGUGAUGAAGGUUUAUACUCCUCCUCCUCUAAUCGGGGGAGCAACUUGCGUUUUGGGUAGCUUUUGGAGGGGCGUUCGAGUUCAUACUCUUCGGACGCCAGGACUUCAGUCCAUCUGUCGGCUAAUAGGUCUUGAUCAGCUCGGAGCUGUUGCUGCUUUUUCUUUAGGCUGUUUGCCGUGGCCAUAAGCCUGCGUUUAAAACGCUCUUGUUCGACGGGAUCCUCGGGCACGACGAAUUCGUCGUCGUUGAGGCUUGCCUCGUCUCUGGAGGGAGGCAUAUAAUUAUCAUCCUCUACCUCUUCGUCUGCCGCUCUCUCGUGAGGGCUGGCUUCUCCGUCCUCCUGUGCUGAAUCUUGCUGGAGGGGGUUGUCUUCGGCACUCUCUACGGUGUUAUUAUCUCCGGUGCCAGAAUCUCCAUUCUUGCUGUGGCGGGAUUUAGAGCGGCGCCGCUGACGCCGGCGCUUGGGCUGUUUCUUGGAGGAAUCUGCCUCUGCUGCUUCUUCGCCAUUCCCAUCCUUUGGGGUGUCCACCAUGUAUAUGUCGUAUGACGAGGUGGUCUUCCAGUGCUCCGUAGGCACUGGUUCUUGGUCGUCUCCGGCAUCGUCGUCCAUACCGUUGAUGUCUUCGGAGUCGUAAUCUAGCAUGUCGGUUAGAUCGUUGACAGUGGCUACAAAGUGGGUGGUGGGUGGGCUUUGAAUUUCUUCGUCGUCCGCAUCCCAACUGUCCUGACCGCAGUCCGGCCAGGGCUCUCCUGAUAACGAGAGAUGCUUUAAAGAAUUCAGGAUGUCGCCAAAGGGUGAGUGCUGAAAGAUGUCCGCGGCGGUGAACUCCAUGAUCGGCGCCCAAUCGGAUUCGAUUGGUAGGGGCGCAGGAGGUUCGGCGUCCGGCGAGGAGUCCGGCACCUCGGAGUCACGAGCUUUACAAGGGACCAAGUCAGUAUUCGGCUCCAUCGUCGUAGAGGUUGCAGCUCCCGAGGCGGUGUCUAGCCACCCGUCCUCGAUCUGUGCGGUCGGCUCCGAAUUAAGGAUCGGAGCGGACUCAUGUGCGGCCUCCAGGGCACUGUCCGGCAGCAGAGCUAAAUCAUGCCCAUCAUGACAGUGCGGUGCUCUUGGCUGUGGCUCGAAUCCAUCGAAGAUCAAGUCUCCGCGGAUGUCAGCCGUGAAGUUUGGGCUUCCAAAUCCGACCUGAUGGCCAGGGGCGUAGCUUUCGAUCUGCUCCAGAUGGCCAAGCGAAUUGGCCCGCAGUGCAAAGCCGCCGAACACGAAGAUCUGUCCGGCGAGAAAAGUCUCACCCUGGACUGAGUCGUUAUGGAUGAUCGAAGGAGCCAUCAAGCCUAUCGGUGACGACACAGAGGAACUCUCAAUGAAAGCACCAAUGUCGGUGUCAAAACCGGUGGAUCUCGGGUAGGGGGUCCCGAACUGUGCGUCUAGGCGGAUGGUAACAGGAGACAAGGGACACGAUGUUUUUACCCAGGUUCGGGCCCUCUCGAUGGAGGUAAAACCGUACUCCUGCUUGAUUGAUAUUGAUGAUAUGGGUAGUACAAGAGUGGAUCUACCACGAGAUCAAGGAGGCUAAACCCUAGAAGCUAGCCUAUGGUAUGAUUGGUGUAAUGGUUGUUCGUCCUACGGACUAAAACCCUCCGGUUUAUAUAGACACCGGAGAGGGCUAGGGUUACACAAAGUCGGUUACAAUGGUAGGAGAUCUACAUAUCCGUAUUGCCAAGCUUGCCUUCCACGCCAAGGAAAGUCCCAUCCGGACACGGGACGGAGUCUUCAAUCUUGUAUCUUCAUAGUCUUGGAGUCCGGCCGAUGAUGAUAGCCCGGCUAUCCGGACACCCCCUAGUCCAGGACUCCCUCACCAGGUCUUCGCAGUCAAAUCCCAAGGUCUUGAGGAGAACAGUUUCAGCUGCCGACGCCCUGGACUUUCUAGGUCCAACAAUGCAAGUCGAGCGAGUCGCGCGCCAAGGUGUGAAAGGGUCUUGCCCAGCAUGAACCCCACUCAUCCCUUCGAAUUCUUUGAGCAGCGGCAGGGCAAGCUUCUUGAGUAGGCCGGCACAAAAAGUCUUAAUGUUGGACAGGGCAACUUGCUCUUUGGAUGUCAGGUUGGGCACCACCGGAAGCAAAGCUAGCUCAGACCUCUCCUCCGAGGGGGCAUCACGCGACGAGAGCUGCAUGGGCUGCAUGGCCUGCAUACCAGCCUCGGACGUGGUCAUAUCAGGGUCCAACCCGCUCGGCGUGGGAACUAAGCCAGAUACCUCCAAGAUCGGUCCAUCAUUAUUCCCAUUGGUCGCAUGCAGCAGAAUCUCCGACACUGGAGCCCAUGCUUCGGGAUUGGCCAAUGGCACCACUGGACACACAGCAUCCAUCGAAGCAACCUUGGGGGCGUGGGGGGGAGAAGGUCAGUGGGCCCCAGGGACUCUCCAACGAGCAAAACCAGACUGGCCCCGCUGUCAUGCCUAACAGCAGCAUCAGGCUCCGCUGAUGGGACAGGGAUGGUUUGAAAUGCCAGCUCCACAUUGGGCGGAUCAGCCGGGCCAGACCGCGGAGCAAUCUCCACCACACAGACCUAGUCAAAAGCGGUCUCCCGAAGAACAGCCUGAGGCGGCAGAACAGCAGUCGCUUGCGCAGGGCCUGGCGUCACCACUGGCCCUGGCCCCAACGGCCCCACCUGCAGAAUGGGAUCUUCUGCAUCCUCCUGAACCACCACCGGCGCCACCACUGGCGCCACCACAGAGCGCACGUGAACAUCCCUGCCGAUAUGGACCGGAGCAGGGGGCACCAACGGAGAACGAGACGUCACCGCUCCGCCAUGCUCCAUAGGCGGCAGCCACCAGGACGAGGGCCCGAUGCCUCCUAGGAGAGCCUGCCGGUAGGUGCCACCCAUCCCACGUGGCAGGUGCACACCUCCGCGGUGAUCACGGACACCCAUAGUCCAAGGCAAGACUCACCAUUCUCCCACGCCAGAGAAGUCGCCAGAGUCCUCGGGCAGACCACUCUGACCGCUGCCGUCCGAGCUGGGCGUCCGCAGCCAAGACUCCAUGCCAUCAUGCUCCCUAAUCCUCCCAAUAUGAAUCAAGGUCUUGUAUUCGAACAACUGUCUGGACGUGGGCUGGCGCGCGGCCGGAUCAAAUGCCGCCUCUGGCUCCGGCACCCAAAGCAGCUUGUCCACAGGCACCGAGUCUGGAUCGACACACCAAGCACGAACUUUGAACAGGGAGAGGUCUUCUCUGCUUGCGGUCUCAGGAGCCAAACUCUCAACAAGGCAGGAGGAACCAAGCAACUCCGUCGCUGUCUCUCUGGUCCAAACGUGAGAUGGCACUACAUCAAUCAUCAGGUCAACUUGCGAGUGCAUGAGUCUGGAAACUGCCUAGGCUUGCCGCAACCAUGGUUUGACGAAGAGCUUGAAGCGCCUUGUUGCGGAAUUCAGUCCUCACAAACAGCACAAGAAAGUCUUCAGGGUGGAACUUGUGGACUGAGAAGAAGUGGCGGGGAAUACGCAGCUGGACAGAGAUGGCUUCGGUGGCAUCCUGGCAAGACACCAGAGGGCGAGGACCUCCGACAUAUGCCACCACCGCCAGCUGCAGGCGACGCUCCAGGUCAUCAAUCUCCGGGGUCCGCAGGAGGAUGCAAGAGGCACCAGAGUUGCUCGCCACUGCCAGCCCAAAAUCCACAGGUGUGGUGUCGCCUGGCACUAACGAGGGCCCCUCCUGGGGAGAGGCCUGCCGAGUGGCCGGAGACAGCCUGCUCGCGAUUCCGGCUGGCACCAGUGGCAGAGCGAUCUGUGCCACCUUAGACAUCACCACCCGCCGGAGAUCCUCCUCCGAUCUGGGACUCCAAGGCCGCUUGCACUCCGAGGAGAUGUGCCCCUCAAGGCCACAGCGGAUGCACAGCGGCAGAAAGGUGCAGUCAUCCCGGCGGUGGCCCUCCCGAAAGCACUUGAAGUGUUGGCGCCGCCGCUCCUCGAAACGCCGCUUCUUCUUCCUCACACAACUCUCUCUUCCUCUUGAUUCUCUCAAGAACACACACCAUGGAAGAAACCGAGAAAAACACACGCACACACACACCAGGGAAGGAAGCCAACUAGCUUUGCCAAGAGGCUCUCCUCCUGGGUCACACAAGUGCUACAUCUUUUCUGCCAGCCCUCACGGCUCAACUCCGUCGAUUAGUACAAGGGGUUUUAUACCCAUUAUAGCACAGGCGCACGCACACCACUAGCAUCGACCCACUAACCAACUAGACGCUAACUACAUGCAACUAAUUCCUACAUGCACGUCCAGCCCUUAUCCACUCAACGGAUCACAACUAACUAGAUGCCCCACGUCUACCGGUCGUGUGGUUCUCCACAACAGCACAGCCACACGUUUGCUAACGCACGUGCUAAGUCAAGAUUAUGGCUAACAUGAAGCACAAACCAAAAAGGUCUGGCAGAAUCUCCCUGCGCUCCAGCGACGAAGAUGGAGAGCACGGCCUUGACGAUGAAGAUGGAGCGCCUUGCGAGAAGGGCCUGGCCUCCUCUAGGGCACCGCCGCGCCAAUCGCUGCGGGCGGGGCGGGGACGAGGGGGGCGCCGAUGGCCCCGGUCGAAGAUGCAGAGCCCGACGAGGCGGAGAGCCCCAAGCCCGAGACCACCAGACGCAGCCUCGAAGACACCGAACCCGGGCUCGCAGAUCCAGAGGCCAUGGGGGGAACGGGGAAGCGCCACGGAGGGAGGUGGACGCCGGGGACCGGGGUGGUCACCGGUGGGGAGAGGGGAGGUGGACGUCGGGGCCGGAGUGGCCACCAGCAGGGGAGAGGGGCGCUAGAGGGGGAGCCAGGAGAGAAUACUGGAGAUGGAUUGUGUACUCUCAACACGAUUUUAUAGUACGAUUACUUCAUAUUUAUUAUUUUUGUAUGGUUAUUUAGGAGCCUUGUAUAAGCUAAACGUGCAGAGUUUAGCAAACCAAACAGUGUUAUUAGGUUGACACUAUAUAUGCUUAAGCAAGGCAAGCUAUGCAGCUGGCUGUUGCUUUCAGAGGUAGAAAAUGAGUUUUUAACCUCUCCAUUAUCUGAAGAGGAAGUUCGAGCCGCGGUGUUUCAAAUGGAACACAACAAGGCUCCGGGACCAGAUGGUUUUCCGACAGAGUUUUAUCAAUGUUUUUGGGAUAUGAUUAAGGCGGAUUUGGUUCAGUUGUUUAACCAACUGCAUGCUGAAAACCUUGAUAUUGCCCGUUUAAACUUUGGGGAAAUUAUUCUUCUGCCCAAGACUAAGGAGGCUAGUCGUAUUCAACAAUAUAGACCGAUUUGCCUUCUAAAUGUCAGCUUUAAGAUAUUCAUAAAGGUGGCAACUAAUAGGUUGAACGGGGUGGCUGACCACGUGGUCAAACCCACUCAAACAUCGUUUAUGCAAGGACGCAACAUACUAGAUGGAGUUGUUGUGCUACAUGAAACUGUGCAUGAGCUCCACCGUAAAAAGUUGAAUGGAGUCAUAUUCAAAAUAGACUUCGAAAAAGCAUAUGACAAAGUCAAAUGGCCCUUUCUUUUGCAAACUUUGCGCAUGAAGGGGUUUUCACCAAAAUGGUGUCGAUGGGUAGAGAGUUUUGUUUCUGGAGGUAGUGUGGCUAUCAAAGUCAACGAUGAUGUUGGCAACUACUUUCAGACUAGGAAGGGGCUUCGCCAAGGGGACCCUGCUUCCCCUAUUUUGUUCAACAUUGUAGUUGAUAUCUUAGCUAUCCUUGUUGAGCGGGCUAAGGUGGCCGGUCAAUUUAGCGGCGUGAUUCCUCAUCUGGUAGAAGAAGAACUGUCUAUUCUACAAUAUGCGGUUGACACUAUACUUUUUCUAGAUCAUGACCUAGAUAAAUCUAGAAACCUCAAAUUGCUUUUAUGUGCAUUUGAGGAGCUCUCUGGUCUCAAAAUUAACUUCCAUAAGAGCGAGCUUUUCUGCUUCGGCGAUGCUGCAGAGUCCGCAUCUGAGUAUGCUGAGAUUUUCGGCUGUCAGCUCGGCCAGUUCCCGAUCAGGUAUCUAGGUAUUCCUAUUCACUAUCGGCGUUUAACUAUCGCUGAGUGGAAGCAAGUGGAAGAAAGACUUGAGAAACACCUAGCCAGCUGGAAGGCCAAACUCUUGUCGUAUGGGGGACGGAUGAUUCUGAUUAAUUCCGUCCUCAGCAACAUGGUUCUAUACAUGUUGUCAUUCUUCCACUUACCUAAAGGGGUUCUACAACGUCUCGAUUAUUUUAGAUCCAGAUUUUUUUGGCAGUGUGAUAAUGAAUCCAAGAAAUAUCGGCUGGCUAGGUGGAGUAUAUUAUGCCGACCUAAAAGUAAAGGGGGCCUUGGAAUUCAGGAUCUUGAGAUUAAAAACAUCGCUCUCUUGAGUAAAUGGGUAUACAAACUACUCACUGAGAAUGGAGUAUGGCAGGAAAUCAUUCGUAACAAGUACGUGGGGUCUAAAGCCAUUUCUCAAGUUCAUUGGAAACCCGGUGAUUCACAUUUUUGGAGUGGCGUGAUGAAGGCCAAGGAAUUCUUUUUUCAAUUUCGUACUUUCUCGGUUAGGGAUGGUUCUCAGGUUCGAUUCUCGAAAGACACCUGGCUGGGGGCCACUCCUCUUAUGGUGCAAUACCCUAGCUUGUAUAGGAUCGUCAGACAUAAAUUAGUCACGAUCAAACAAGUAUUGGGACAAGAAAACCCUGAUAUUUCUUUCCGUAGGGACCUUAUUGGGCCUAGUCUGGUGGCAUGGAAUGAAUUACUCAAUCGUCUGGAGGCCAUUCAGCUGUCAGGCAAACCAGACAAGUUCCGAUGGAAUUUGCAUCAAAAUGGUACCUUUUCAGUCAAAUCCUUGUAUGCUGCAAUGACCCACACUGAUGUACCGGUUGAUAACAAGAAAUAGUGGAAGCUCAAAAUUCCCCUAAGAGUGAAGAUAUUCCUUUGGUUUCUAAACAGAGGGGUCAUCUUAACUAGAGAUAACUUGGCACGACGCAACUGGCAAGGUAGCAAGACAUGUGUCUUUUGCCAACAUGACGAGUCCAUCAAACACUUUUUUUUUGAGUGUAAGUUUACUCGUGUAGUCUGGACCAUAGUUCAAAUAGCUUCAAAUCUAUAUCCCCAACAUAGUGCGCGUAACAUGUUCAGCAAUUGGUUGCGGGGUAUCGAUAAACAAUUUUCUGCACAUCUACUCGUGGGAGCGACUGCCUUAUAUUGGGCACUGUGGCUCACUAGAAAUGAUGUGAUUUUUAACAAUAAAUGUGUUUCAUCUCCUGUGCAGGUUAUCCAUGCAUGUACACGAUGGCUCCGUACGUGGUCUAUCCUGCAGAGGCCGGAGGACAGAGACCUUUUUAUGAUGGCGUCUACACAGCUGGAGCAUACAGCCAGGGAGGUUUUCUCCCAACAUGGAUGGCGGUGUAAUCUCCGGAUAGGCAUUGCCCCAUCCUAGGCUGGACUGAUUUACUUUUGCUGUAAAACGAUAUUUAUUUUUAGGCUUGUUGGACAUGUUGGCUGUGUGCAUCACGCUAUGCAAAGGCCGGGCAUUCUUCAAUGCGAUUGUAUCACCUCGAUAUAUCAAUUGAAUGAAAUGUUUUUUAUCGAAAAAAAAUGUGAGUCCACCAAACGGUAGGAAUUCAUUGGAAAAGUAGUCCAACUUUGAAAAGCAAAUCACUCGUACCCGACGUAGCCGAGCAGAUCAAAGGUUAGCACCACCCAUGUCGCCCUAAUCGUAUAUCAAGCAGCACCAAUCGUAAAGCUGUGGCCUCCAGAUCUUUCUGGAAGGCUCAAGACCCCAACCGAUCUGUCCAGAACCUUCUAAACCCGUUUCCCAUCCCCUCCCCCAAGAAAUCUCCCCCGCUCCCCACUUACAAAACCCCCUCCAUUUCGCAUCCCGUCUCGCUCACCACAAGAAUCCAAAAUCACAGCAGAAGAGAGAGAGAGAGAAAGAGGAGAGAGAGAAGAGAGAGACCAUGGCCUCCGCCGUCGUUUGCAAGGGCGAGGGUGCCGCGCCGGCGGCCAGCCUCCUCAAGUCCGCUGCUCCCGUGGCCUUCGGCGCGGUCCACUCCCCCGCCGUCGCCGCCGCCCGCCGCCCGUACAACACCCGGGUCAAGGAGGUCAGCCGCUACGACGACGACGACGACGACUACAGCGGUUGCGACCUCGUCAUCCCCAGCUUCUUCUCGCAGGGUAUGCUUCCCUUCCCCACCUGUGGUGCACCGUUUCUUUGCCUUCGUUCUGAAGUAUCAACAUCGCAGCGUUCUGAUCUGCUUUUGGUGUCCUCGGUGUUGAUUCUGCAGACGUGCUCGACCCGCUCGGCGCGCCGACCAGCAUGGCCCGUCUGCUGUCUCUGAUGGAGGACGUCGCAACUCAGAACGGCAGCCUCUCCUCCACUGCUGGUGCUGGGGCGUCGCGGCUCUGACGCUGGGUGGCCAAGGAGGACGAUGACGCGGUGUACCUCAAGGUGCCGAUGCCGGGGCUGACCAAGGAGCACGUGAAGGUGCGCGUGGACAAGAACAUCCUGGUGAUCGAGGGCGAGGGCGAGAAGCAGCCCUGGGACGGCGACGACGACUCCGCGGUGCCAAGGUACAACCGCCGCAUCGAGAUGCCCGCCGACGCGUACAAGAUGGACAAGAUCAAGGCCGAGAUGCAGAAUGGCGUGCUCUGGGUCACCCUGCUCAAGGUCAAGGAGGAGGAGCGCAAGGACGUCUUCCACGUCAAGGUCGAGUAGGUAGUGCUCGUGGAGGAUGGCCGGCGCGAGAGUGUGAGAGACGCCUUGUUGAUGUGGUCAUGUUUGGUGUGUGUCUUCCUUGUUUUGCUUCGUUGAUCGUCUUGCAUCGAGUAGGUGAAGUUGGCCGCGAGUUUGGCAUAUGAUGAAGUUGCUUUGGUGGUGAAAUUGGUCAUGCAAUUCUGUUGAUUUCCUCAAAUUUGUGAACUGAUUUGGUGCUGAAAAUCGUCAUGAAACCUUGCUGAUCUCCUUAAGUUUGGCGUGCUGGACUAAAUUAGUGCUGAAAUCGAUCAUGUACUGUGUUGAUUGUCUGAAGUUUGGCUUGAUGAACGACCUUGAUUGUCUUAUGAACUUUGUCAUGAACUUUGUCAUUAACUUUAUUGAUUUAGUGGUGAAAUUUGUCAUGAACUUUGUUUAUUGUAUCAAGUUUGGCCUGAUGAACUAGUCUUAAGCCAGUCUGGCCUGUCUAUCUUUUCUCGUCCUUGAUCUGUAUUGCUUUAAGCUUUCUGCAAAAAGCUGUGCAUUCAUGCCAACUCUCUGAAAAUUUGACUGGUCUCCUCGAGUUUGACGUCAUGGAGUUGGUGAACUGGCAGUUACAGGUUGUGCUUAUCCUUGAAUUAUUUGUGCUGAAAUUUUUGCUGGUCUGAUCUCCUCGAAUUUUGUGUGCUUAUCCUUGAGUUUAACUUCGUGUAAAAACUGCAUCUGUUCCAGUUCGUAGUUAUAGGGUUCUUCCGUGGACUGUCACAUGAGAUAGGCGUUUGUUUCUUUAUGUCCUGCUUCGUUGAUCUUCUCAAGUUUAAUGUGACGAACUGAUUUGGUGGCUCCCUGAAUGUUUUGUGUUGAUCCUAUGUGUUUACUUCUUGAUAUUAUCAUAUAUACUUUGGUGGAGAAGUUGAUCCUGAACUCUGUCAAUUUUCCAAAAAUAAAAAAGUAUGGUUAACUAUUUUGCUGGUGAAAAUUCGUCAUUAAACUUUGUUGAUUCGUCAUUAAAUUAGCAAGUACACUACUAUUUUCAUGUGAGACCAACACUUGAAUGCACAAGUAACAAAAUGCAAAAAUGUGACUCCACUCAAAAUUAUGCACUUAAGUUAUGACCUUACUCCUAAUAUUUUAGUUUUGUAGUAACGCACGGGCAUUGUGCUAGUUUGUAUAAUUUCUUUGGGUUAAACUAACACUGGAAAUGACACUAAUCCACCCAGGAGCUUUUUAUUUUGAGCACACCAUCUUCUUUCAGUUUCUGGACCCAAUUCUGAGCUGUACAGCAAAUACCCUGUAUCAGUGGCGAAUCUAGCACGGAAAUGAAGGGUAGGCUCAAAGCAAAUUCCUAGGUCUAAUUAGCAAUGUAUUGCAAUUAUUGGAUGUAUAAAACACCUCGGCAUAAUUGGCAAGUUGUAUAUUUAGUUGAAAUAGGAUCUUUGGAGGGUAGGCUUCAGCCUAUUGAAGCCCCCCUAAUAGAAUCGCCACUGCCCUGUAUAUGGUUCCAAACUGUUUGAAAAUUGGUACACUUGUACACCUUAGUACGAUAACACCCCAAGGCAUCACCCACACACCGACCCUUACCUAGUUUGCUUUGUAGCUGCUGUCAAAGUUUGCUACAGCAAAGUGUUUGCGAUUGCAGAAUGCAAUUCAGUGCACCUGGAACACAGGGAGACAACUCCUAGCGCAUACUCUGCACACCUCACACACUAGAAACGGUGCUAAGCACCAACAAUGGGCCAGGGCUCUUGGCCGUCGUGAUCACGCCACUGGCAUGCAGAGAGCACGCUCUGCAUGCUAGCGCGCACCUGACCCAACGGCUUCGUCGCGUUCCGCGUCCCCGGCUCGCCAUCGCUCGCAGGACGCCACCCGCACGCCUCUGCAAACCCCCUCGACGCCCUACAACUAGCCCCGCUAGACUCGCCGGAAGACGCGGCGCCGCUCACGUAUGACGCGCCGCAGUCGUCGUCUUCCUGCACAGCCCGGACAGUCGCAGCCACGAGCUCGCAAGCACUCACACGGACCCGCCAAGUCCCCCAAUACGGCUUGGCAGAGUCCGGCGUGAUCACAACUGAUCUGAGCUUAUCCGCGGUGGUGCCAUGUCCGCAACACCCACACGGCGGGUAUAAAAGGCCCACACUUCACUCGCACCACCUCCUCCCUUCUCUCACACAUCACACAAGCCAUUGAGCACGCCCAGGAUGGCCUGCCGCCGCAGAAUCGAGCGAAACUCCGCCGCUUGGGCGCCCUCGCCUGCAAGGAUUUUCCUCGACCCCAACCACACCACCACCACCACUUAGGAUUGCCAUACCUCACAGACCAAAAGCCCCACGGAGCUUCCCCAAAUCUGCGACGCUUUGCUGGAGUUCGCCGGAGCCCGAAGACCGUCGCCACCGGAGAGGAAGGAAAUGAUGCUAUCACGACGUCUUCGGAGGAGCUACGAAUACGAGGAGGAUCGCCCACUUUGCGUCGUUCCAACGCACCCACCCCCGUGCUCCGCCGUGCCCUCUACGCCGAUGAAUGGCCACCGGUGAGCCACUGCUCCAAUGACCGUGCAAUUUUAAACAAAAACCUGACAGGUGGGGCCCACCUAUCGGCGACUCAUUUCCACCCCGAAGCGGCACGUAAGUGGAGGCGCAUUUCUGAAAUACGCCUUCAACGUGGACACCAUGGGGUUUUCUGUUUAAAUCGUUUUUGUUUUAUUUUAAUUGUUUUGUUGACCCAACUUUGACGAGUGAUAACUUUUAAAUUAUAGGACCUUUUUAUUUGAUUGUUUUUCUAAUUUUUAAUGAAAUUCUUUAUUUGUUGAUUAAAUUUGGGAUUUAUUUGACCUGUUUGGAAUUUAUGGGCAAAAUAUUUGACUUUAUGUGUUAUUUACAAAAGCAAUUUUAAAUUAUUUCCGGAAGGAAUUAAUACAUGACGUGAAGAUUAGGAGUUGUGUUGCAGUUCACUUGAGCAAAGCAAGCUACCACCUCCAUUUGCUUGAUGGCAUUGUAGGCCAUGGGUUAAAAUUUGUAAUUUCUUCAUUUUAUGGUAGUAACUAAAUUAAGUUUUAGAUUAUUUUUGUGCUAGAAUGUUUUCCAUGCUAGUGUCAUUUGUUUAGAUACACUAGUAGAAAAAGGGCCAUUCGCCGGUUCUUGAGGGCUAUUUGUCCCGGUUCCCGAACCGGGACUAAAGGGUCGUAACUAAAGCCCUCUACCUUUAGUCCCGGUUCGAUCGGGAACCGGGACAGAUAGGGCUCCACGUGGCUGGAGCGGCUUGCCCAUGCAGGGGGGCCUUUUGUCCCAGUUGGUGCCACCAACCGGGACCAAAAGGAUGGGUUUUUUUCUGAGGGGGGGGGGUUUGUAGGGUUAAUUUAGAGGUUUCAUAUAUUGUGUUAGCUAGCUAAUAGACAAGAGUGUCCUCUCUUAUCUCUGUGCUUGGUCGACGCUACGUAUAGAGAGGACUCGACACACUAGCUAGCUAGUAAGCAAAUGAAGGAAACCAUUAAAAUACAGAAGAGAUCUCUUACGUCCCUUAACAUCUGAACUCAACUUCCACAUGGUAUUCUACGUGUUUGUCGAUGCCGUGGUCAAGAAAGAAUCCCACCAAUUCCUCUUGAAUUGCUCGUAUGCGAUCUUGCGGUAGGAGGUCAUCCCGCGUCUGCCUCAUCUAUUUUCAAGAAGGGGGUCAAUACACAUAUAUGAAUGAAACUGAACACAAAUGAUAGUAAUAAAAUAAAAUUAUGAAUAUUAUUGCUUACGCACUUCAUAUUGUUGUUUAGAUUAGCCCCGCUCACAGGUGGUGCGGUGGAUGAACUCGCAAAUGUAGUAUCCACACAAAUCAUUUCCGGGUUCCUGCCACAACCACUUUACAAGAAAUAGAGGUCAAUCGAACUAAUAAGCAAGCAUGCUAAAAUGGUAUUAAUGAAACUAGCUAGAAUCAAUGGGAGAUGCGCGGAACUAGCUAGUAGCUAGUACUUACUUUCGGGUGGUCAAAUCGCAGUUGCGCCGGCAGUCCCGGAGCUUGUGCGGUGAACUUUUUCCAAACCCUGCCAGACAAAAAAAAAA